rnacentral:lncRNA from 1 species
GUAAGGAUGCUUUGGAGGUGAUGGUGGUGGUGGUGGAGACUUGUACUUAUAAGGAUGCUUUGGGGGUGAUGGUGGUGGAGGUGGGGACUUGUACUUGUAAGGGUGCUUGGGUGGUGAUGGUGGUGGAGGUGGUGGGGACUUGUACUUGUAAGGGUGCUUGGGUGGUGAUGGCGGUGGAGGUGGUGGAGACUUAUACUUGUAAACUGGAGAUGGUGGGGGUGGAGACUUGUACUUGUAAGGGUGCUUGGGUGGUGAUGGUGGGGGUGGGGGUGGGGGUGGGGACUUGUACUUGUAGGGGUGUUUGGGUGGUGAUGGUGGUGGUGGUGGUGGGGACUUGUACUUGUAAGGAUGCUUGGGUGGUGAUGGUGUUGGAGGUGGAGGAGACUUGUACUUGUAAGGAUGCUUGGGUGGUGAUGGAGGAGGUGGUGGGGACUUAUACUUGUAAACAGGAGUUGGUGGGGGAGGAGAUUUGUACUUGUAAGGCUUCUUGUGUGGUGGUGGUGGUGGUGGAGAGUAGACCGGAGGAGGCGGUGGUGGAGACUUGUAAUGGUAAGGUGGUGGUGGGUACUUCUUAGGAGGUGGUGGAGGAGAAGAAUAAGUGUAAUCUGCUGAGGUUUCAAAAGGCAAAUUGAGAGACACUGCUAAAACUAAAAGAGUGAGAAAGAGAGAGGUCAUUGAUGACCCCAUUUUCCCCAUACUUCUAAAAAUGGGUUUAAUUUGGUUAUGCUCUUAGCAACCCUCUUCACUCCCUUUAUAUAGACUUUUUUUUUAACCUUAUAAUCAUGAUAAAAGUUUGAAGAUGGACCGAACCUUCAGCAGCAUGUAAAAAAGACAUUACGUUUAGGUUAUUAGCAUGGUAUGAUAUAAUAAUUCUCUAUUCUCUUCCUUGUCGUUUCCCAUAAAUUCAAUUUUCUCUAUUAAAUAUUUAUCAAAUUCAUUUCUCACUCCCUAUUAAUUCUUUAAUAAGUUUAUAGAAUAUGAAUAAUUAAUCAUUAAACUCGAUUUAAUAAAUACUUUAAACAAUUAAUAAUUUAUCUUAUUUUAUGCUUUAAUUAAGGCAUCAAAUCAUAAUCCUAUUUUAUAUUUUGAAAAUUUAUCAUUUUUUAAAGAACUUAAUUGAUUAAAAUGUGAUUCUAAUAUUUGGCAGGAAAAAUUAGUUUACUUUCCUUAGAAUGUAAUAUUCUUUUGAGAGUUAUUUUCUUACUAAUAAUAGAAAGUGAUAAUUCGUGAGAAAAUUACUUUCACAUGUAAAUAAAAAUUAUUAGAACAAAAAAUUAACUUUCUUUUAUUUAUGUUUAGGUACUAAUUAACUUAUUGAGAUAAAGAUAGUUGUAGCUUGCUUUUUCAUGUCAUUUUCUUAUCUUUACAACUUCAAACCAUUAUUCUAGAGUAAGUUUUUUUUUUUUUUUCUAAAUAGUAGAUAAAUAUCUAUAUUUUAUUUUGCUAUAAGAAAAUUAUAUUUUUUAGCAUACAAAACUUAAAGACAACUUGUAGAAUCAAGUAAUUCUAUGAAAAGCAAGCCUAUUCACAUAUAAUACCUAUUACUCUAGCAAUAAUAAUAUUGACAUUGUCUAAAUUUUCUAAUAAAAAAAUUAUAUAAUUUGUAUGUGUUAAAAAUGAAAAAUAUGGCGGUUAUUAAAAAAGAUUUCAUACAUCUAAAUGAAACUACUAAUUUAAAAAUUAGUAUUGAGAUAAUUUCAAGUUAAUAUUGAAUAUACUUGAAUUUGUACAUACAAAGUAAUGAGGGUAAAAAUUUUGUAAAUUGUACAUCUUCACAAUCUUGAGUUAAUAUACAAUUUUUUAAUGUAUUAAUAUAAUGUUUUAGAUCAAGAUGUGAAAAAACAUAACUCAAAUAUUUGUUAAUAAUAAAAAAUUAUUAAUAAAUAUUUAAUUCAAAAUUUAUUAAUAAUAAAAAUUAUUGAAAAAUAUUAAAUACGUUAAUAUUAUUUUUAUAUAAUAAUGAUAAUUUUGUACAGUAAUCUUAUAUUCUCAAUAAGUGUUAAAUGUCUCAAGAUUUUAAUUAAUACUUUUCAGUGGUUACCAAACAUUGUGAAAUAACUUCUUGAACAAUGAUAUUCUUAUCAAUCACAUUCCAUUAGAAAUUUAACAUAGGAAAGCACCAAAACAACCGCUUAAAAAUGAAUGUGCAUGAUUAAAAUCGCGAUAAGUCUUGUUUAUCUAAAAUUUAAAUAUUCAUUUUAUUAUUUAAAAUAUAUUAAUUUUCCAAAAACAAUCAUUAAUAUUUAUAUUUCUAAUUUUAAACAUUCUUUUGUUAAUUAAAUGAUAGUGUAAACGGUUAAACUCAAAUCGAAAGCAUUUUAUCUUAUAGUAGAUUAUAUGACUCAUAUUAUGGUUGAAAGUAAAAUGUAUAAAAUCAAUACAAACAUCAAAUAUUAAACUUGCACUCAAUAGAUUUUAAAAUUUCUAAUUUUACCACUAAUCUAUUUUAAGAUUUUUAAAAAAUCGUACUUUAGAUUAUCUAAUUUAAAUUUUAAAAUUAUUAAAAAUAAAAAAAUUCUUAAUAAAAAAAUUUGUUUCAAAUUUUUAACCUUUUAAUAUAAUUGUUUUAACUGGUUAUCUAAACUAAAUAAAAACUUAUUUAGUAUAAAAAAAAGUGGUAAAUGUGAAAGGAGCACAAAUCACAACUACAAUAUGCUACAUUAGUUUUAUAAUUGGAUUAAUUUAAUCACCGGCAGAGGAAAUGUGUUAGUUCUAGCUACCACCAAUUUAUUUUAAUUCCUUUAAAAAUAUUAGAAAAAAUCAAUUUGAUUUUUAAUAAUAGAUCUAAUUACUUAAAGGAACAUCGGUGAUGUCCACAUGGCAUACAAGGUUAAGCAUAUAAAAAAAGAACAAAAAGAUUAAGUAUCUUUGCAAGAUAGCUUUCUGAAAUAAAUAAAACUUAAAUAAAAACAAUUUUAUUAUCAAAAUAAAAAGAAAAAAGAAAAGAAAUACUAGUGUUUUUAAUUAAAAUAGAGUGAUCUGGGUAGAAUCUUUUACUUAAAUACUGACAUUGACUUUAUAAGCUAUUUUUUAUCAAAAGAAGAAAGAGAAAAGCAUCCGAUUGAAGAUGUGAAUUAUUAAAUUAAAAUUAAUCAUACAUGUAAAAUUUUAUUGUGCUUUUUUCUAGCCCUCCGAAUGACAUUAUGCUUUGAUUACAACAUUCUUGCUCAGAGAUCGGGUUUGAAGAUGAACUCGGAUGCAUUUAGAUUUUUACAAGUAAAUUAAAGGAUGUUAGAACUUGUAUUCCGAUAAACUUAUAAUACAGAAAGCAAGUAAUAUGUGACUGUACAUAAUGGCUAUGAGGCGAGGAUAUGAUAUGAGAAGAUAGAGAUGAGAGAUUGCACUUAAGGGGUUAACACCACUUUCCUUUUUGUGUUUGGUCCCCAAAGCAUCUCUUAUUGGCUGAUGUUGCAAGGCCGUCCCAUAAGUUGGUCUAAAAGUGCUUGAUAGCUAGAAUUAAUAUUGUGGUAUAACAUAUGUCACCACUAGGUUUGAAUAAGGUUACACAGUGAUUUGAUGAAGAUUUAAAAAAGCAUAGAGAUAAUUAUGUUGCAAAUAUUGUAAAAGUAAGAGCUAAAUUGUUUGGCUUUAUUAGAGUUUAGACUCUGUUAGUCUAUUACCAUUCUCUAUUAGUCUGUUACCAUUUUGUUAUAUAGGCUGUAAUAUUGUUAGAAAGCAGUUAGCAGCUGUUAGUCAUAGUAGUUAGUCAUACAAAUAUAAAUUCUAUUCAUGUAUUGUUCAAAGGUAAGCUAAUAAUAUCAGAAGCGAUUUAAUGUAUUCAUUCUACUUUUUUUUUAUUCUUCAUAAUACAGUUGUUAACAUGGUAUCAGUACCCUAAUUUCUUAGAGGUCGCUUCUAUUGUAGAUCCAUGGCCAAUUCCACUGAUUCUACCUCCACUGGUCGUAGCAGUCCCUCGUUCUCGAUUCAUGUUUGGUUCAAUCGUUUCCUCGUCGUCACACUGAGAAGUUAGAUGAAAGAAAUGUUAUGCAAUGCCAACAGCAUAUCCUAUUGAUAAUUGAAGGGUAUGAACUCAUAAGAUUUUUAGAAGGGACGUUACCUACUCCGCCUCGCUUUGUGUCAUCUCCCGAUGGAACCUUGGCUUCGGCUCCCGAUGCAUUCCUGUUUGUUCAGCAAGAUAAGUUACUCGCUCUUUGGUUGCUUUCUACGAUUAGUGCUCCUUUGUUGUCCUCUUUUAUAGCUGCUAAGACACCGUGUGAGGUUUGGAGCACUGUGAAUCACCUCUUUACUGUUUCCACCAGAGCGAAGUUAUCGCGUAUUAAGCAUGAACUCCACUCCAUCAAGAAAGGCAUGAUGACUGUCAAAGAGUAUAUUAUUAAGAUUCAAAAUACCUGCACCUUACUCGAGGCAUCUGGAUUGGUGGUUUCGAAGGCCGAGAAGGUAGAGAUCAUUCUUGCUGGCCUAUCGUCAGAUUAUGAUGUCGUUUUAACACUACCAUAGUUCUCUUCUGAAACUCUUCCGUUACAGAAGAUAGUUGUUGUGCUACUGAAGUUCGAAAGCCGUCAGACUCAUGUCGUGAAUGACAUACCUUUUCAUGCUCAUCUGGUAGAGGCCACUUCGGCGACAUCGGUGGAGGACUCCGUACAUGGUAGCCAUCCUCCUCCUGGUGCUCGUGGGCAUGACUUUCGACUCGGCUUCAGUUCCAGAUCUAUGGUUGCUAUGGACAUCUGGCACAACGCUGUUAUUAUCAUUUCAACCGCGAAUACAGUGGUCUAUCUGCUCUGACCAUGGCGCAGGCUUCGCUUUUGUGCUGGGCACUAUUCGUGUGACAAUGUUUUUGGUGCAACUGGUCUCUUGACCGGCUGGUUUCCAUCAGCUCAUCCUAGUUCAAACCCCUUCGAUGUGCCUGGACAGUGUGCCGAUUCUUCGGUGACGGUACCGGCGCAUUUCCCUUAUGGCUCCUCUUGGGGAGGAUGGCCACAUUUGUAAAACAAUGCCUCCCUUGUGCCAAGUCUACCGAAUGUUAGGGUUUCUAACCUUUUUGCUCCUAAUUUUAACAAUGAGGCAAGCUAAGUGUUUGGGCCCGCUGUUGAACCAGGCUCAAAUAGUGACCAAUCUGGUGGUCCUCACUUGCCGCUGAAGAUGGGCUAACGCAUUGGGCCAUUCGCUGGUGUUCCUAGGCCAACUGCUUCAGGCCAAGAUUUUGGCCUAAAUGGAAUUGGUAGGCCAGCCAGUGCUCGUCCUAGCAUUGGAUAGGGUUCACUUGGGUCAAAUGUCAAUUUUAUUGGACUUGAGGGUUCUUUUGGGUAUAGACAAGAGUUUGGGCCCACCACUGGCAAUGUUUCAGUGCCAAUUAAUAGAUCAUGUGUUCCAUGGCACACAAAAUCGAGGGCACGCGUUAUUGAUUUUGAUUCUUCGCUGUGCGUUGGGUUGCAUCGCUUUACUAAUUUUCACGCAUCCGAUUUUUUUACUACCACUGGGUCUAAUGCCAAUACAACUCCAUAUAGGUCUAAUUUUGAUAAUGGUAAUUCUUACAUUCCUAUGCCUAUAGGGACCUCAUCAUGGUGUCUUGAUUUAGGGGCUACGCAUCAUGUCUGUUGAGAAGUCUCUGCCUUGAAUAAGUCUACGCCAUACUCAAGUACAUCUCCUUUCUUCACGGAUGAUGGUAUUCCUACAAAAAUAUCGUAUGUUCGGAAUCUUAUCUUGUCUAUGAAAACCAAAUUGCUUCAUUUGUCUAAUGUUUUGUGUGUGCCAAAUAUACGGAAGAAUUUGCUAUUUGUUUCUCAGUUUGCUAAUGACAAUAACGUGUUCUUUAAAUAUCACCUGUCUUAUUGUGUUAUUAAAGACAUCCAGACUCAUGAAAUUUUACUACGGGGCUACACUCGUGAUGGGCUCUAUUAUUUUUCGUCGGUUACUCUUGCUCUGUUUGUCGUUGUUCCUUUUUUCAUAGCACUGGGAUCUAGAGUCGCAAUGCAUAUGAUGAUUGUUUUGCAUUAUGGCAUCACAGGCAUAGUCAUUUGUCUGCCUCGAUUGUUAAACUUGUUCUCGAUAAGUGUCAAGUUGUUUCAAAAUAAAAUGUGCCUUGAAAAUAUUUGUAUUGCAUGUCAAAACGGGAAGUCUCACAAACUGCCUUUUUCAAGUUCUACUACUGAAUAUACAAAUUUGUUUGAUUUGGUUGUCUCUAACUUAUGGGGACCAACGUCUGUUGUCUGUAGAAAUAAUUUAUAUUAUGUUUUGUUUAUCGAGAUGUGUAGUUGAUAAACCGUAAUUUAUACAUAUUUUUAUCCUAUGUUUGGCACAUUUAUAGAUGAUUUAUCCUUAGAUUUGGUGAAUUCGAUGCUCCUAAUCCUUUAAUUUCAUAUUUUAUACUUAGGAGAGCAUAGGAGGGCAAAAAGAGCGAGAAACGGGCCGAAAACGGAAAAAAUAGACCCACAUGGGAAAUCAACAUGGCCUGGACUUCCUCACACUGGUAAGCCACACGGCCGUGUCCAUUUGGCAGGAUCGAAGCAAGACUUACACGAGUAGACUACACGCCCGUGCCUUUUUAAUAGCCUUGACCACUGUCUGGAGCAAUCGCGCACGGGCAUGUCCCUGUCGAGCCCAAGUAUAGUCUUAUUCGGAAAAGGUCUAUUUUAAGGGCUCUUAGGCAUUCUAAAGCUUAUUUAAUCACCUGAGAAGGCACUUAAAAGGGGGGACACGGAGUAGGAAGCAAGGAAUUACUCGAAGAAAGCCGAUUGAUCCAUCUCAGAAGCCUGAUUAUUCAUCAAGACUGAAAAUCUCCCUUCAAUUACCAUUCAGGAGUUUUGGGUUUUCUUUAUGUUUUGUAUUCAUUAUUCUUCUGAGAUGUUUUCUUUUAUAAUUAUGAUUUAAACCCUCUAAAUACCUAAGGGGAAUGAAACCUAAACGGAUCUUGUUAUUAUUAUCUGAAUUAUAUGAUAAAUAUUUGACUUGUUUUUAAUUAUAUGUUCUUAAUUCUUGUCUUAAUAUUCCAGGAUAUUGAUUCAAGUUAAUGCGCUUAUUCAGAGGAGCAAAAGUCCCUGUCUAAGAGUAAAUUUGUCAUAAUUAAACAGAGUUGAUUGCACACCUAAAGAUAGGGUAACAAGAUUUUGCCGAAUUAGGGUGAAACCUAAUAAGGAGAUCCAUAGAUCGAGUUAAUGCAACACUAGGGCGUUAAAUAGAAAGAGAUUUCAAUUAAUCAACCUAGGGUUAGAUGUUAUUAGUCUUGAGAGAGAUAAUAAUAUAACUUAGGGAUUUGUACGGAUCAUGUCAAAUGGAUAAAUCGACUGAUUCAGAGUCAAAUAACAAGUGAAGUCUAGGUGGAUUUUUCCUUGGGUAUUGUCCUAAUCAAGCGAAUUUUCUAAAAGUAUUUUCCCCAAUUUUUCAAGCGAAUUUUCUAAAAGUAUUUUCCCCAAUUUUCUUUCUCUGCACCCUUAGUUUAGUUAAUUAGUUUUAAUAAACAAAUCCUUUAAUUUUUAGGUUAGAUAAUAAAAAGAAAGUGAUUACUAGUACUCUUGGUUCCUUUGGGUUCGACAAUUCGGUCUUGCUAAAGCUAUAUUACUGUUCGAUAGGUACACUUGUCUUUAUCGUGAUAAUAGUUGGUUUCAAUAACGAUCAUUUCUAAAUUAUUUAAAACUUAUCGCAAGUAUCAUGAAUCAAGUUUUUGGCGCCGUUUCCGGGGAACUAAGAUAUUAGGAACACUUGAUUUUUAUUACUUUAGCCAUUUUUCUUUAUUUUUACUUUAAAUUUUUAUUUUCUUUUCUAAUUUUUCUUUUAUUUGUUCCUGACAGGUUUUUAUAGUUUAUGAUUAGAAGAAACCCGUCGGGACCAUUACUGUUUGAUAGUGAGAUCGAUCGCACAGUUCACAGAAACCAAAGAAAAAUAAGACGAAGCUUAAGAUACAAAAAGGAAGAGUAAGACGACGAUACUUCAACCACAAUCGAGAAGAUGGCUGAAAACCAGGAAAAUUUGCUACCUCCUGUGAUUUCUGCUGAUCCAGUAAAUCAGAAUCCUACUCCACGCACUAAGUAUGAUUAUGCUAAACCUACUUUAACAGGAACUGAGUCAAGUAUAGUUAGGCCUGCUAUUGCUGCGAAUAAUUUUGAACUGAAACCUAACACAAUUGAAAUGAUACAGCAAUUUGUUCAGUUUGAUGGUUUGCAGGAUGAGGAUCCAAACAACCACUUGGAAAAUUUUCUAGAGUUUUGCGAUACAUUUAAAAUCAAUGGCGUUUCUACUGAUGCCAUUCGCCUUCAGUUAUUCCCUUUUUCAUUGAGGAACAAAGCUAAACAGUGGUUGAACUCGUUACCACAAGGGUCAAUCACUGCUUGGGAACAAAUGACCGAAAAAUUUUUAUUAAAAUAUUUUUCGUCGACUAAAACAGCCAAAUUACGUAAUGAUAUCUCUUCAUUUAUGCAAAUGAAUAUAGAAACACUCUAUGAUGCAUGGGAGAGAUACAAGGACCUUUUAAGAAGAUGUCCUCACCAUGGGUUACCACUCUGGCUACAGGUUCAAACGUUUCACAAUGGCCUGAAUCCUUCGACUAGACAGAUGAUUGACGCAGCUGUUGGAGGAACUAUCAAUAAUAAGACACCUGAGGAUGCUUAUGAAUUUAUAGAAGAGAUGUCACUAAAUAAUUAUCAAUAGCAAGUCAUGAGGACAAAACCGAUGAAAGCAACCGGGGUUUUUAAUGUUGAUUCGGUCACCAUACUUUCUAAUCAGGUAGAACUUUUGAAUAGAAAAAUUAACAGUUUUUUUGGUUCUUCACAGGUUCACCCAGUAAUGCAAUGCAAUGCAAGUGGGGGAGAAUUGAGCAAUUCAGAAUGCCCACCCUAUGGCCACAACAUGAAAAACAAGCAAUUAAAUUAUAUGGAUAAUAAUCCUCGACCUCAAAAUAAUCCUUAUAGUAACACUUACAAUACAGGAUGGAGGAACCACCCAAAUUUCUCAUGGGGAGGCCAAGGGAAUCAGAGACCACCACCAUUUCCAGGUUUCUAACAGCAACCUUACCAGCAAAAUAAAAAUUUGAACCUUGAGGAAAUGCUAACAAAAUUCAUCUUGGUGUCAGAAACUCGUUUCCAGAAUACCGAGACAGCACUUAAAAAUCAACAAGCGUCGAUCCAAGGGCUCGAAACUCAGAUAGGCCAGCUCGCUAAAUUGAUAUCUGAAUGAACACAAGGUAGCCUACUGAGUAACACUGAAUCUAACCCAAGGGAGCAACUCAAUGCGAUUGCCAUUCAAGAUGAGGAAGGGUUAGUUACAUCUAAACCAGAACCGAGGCAAGAAACUGUGGUAAGUAAAGGUAAAGGUAAGGUAAACCACAUCGAGCAGAAACCGGUAAGUAAAGAGUACAAACCACGAGUGUCAUACCCAAAUGCGACAAAGAAAGACCAUACAGAUGAACAAUUUUGUAAACUCCUUAAACUAUUAAAGAAAUUACACAUUAACUUACCGUUUAUUGAAGCCCUUUCGUAGAUGCCGAACGCAGUCAAGUUUUUAAAGGAGCUUUUAGGAAACAAGUGAAAGUUGGAUGAAGCGUCGCAUGUGGAGUUGAACGUAGCUUGCUCAGCUAUUCUACAAAAUAAGCUACCCAACAAAUUAAAAGAUCCAGAGAGUUUUACAAUUCCUUGCUUAAUUGGUAGCUUAGAUGUUAAUAAUACUUUGGCUGAUUUAGGGGCUAGCAUCAAUGUCAUGCCUUACAAAAUGUUUAAGUAACUAGGUCUUGAGAAACCCAAACAAACUAAGAUGAGUAUUCAAUUAACCGAUGAAACAAUUAGAUUUCCUAGGGUUAUUAUUGAAGAUGUACUCAUUAAAAUUGACAAAUUUAUAUUCCCAGUUGAUUUCGUUGUUCUAGACAUAGAGGAGGAUAGUAACGUUCCUUUAAUUUUAGGGAGCCCUUUUUAGCAACUGUUAGAACAAUAAUUGAUGUUGGCACAGGUGAACUCACACUUCGUGUGGGAGACGAAACAAUCACCCUUUAAGCUCGUAAUUCAAGUAACACAUCAAAAAUUGAAGGUGGUUGUAUAAAUCAUACUAUUAAAACUGAUCAUUUGGUGAAACCUUCCUGGCAGGAAACACGUUCAAAGAACACACCUGAGCCAUGUUCGAGUAACGACAAAAGACCUAUCUAUGAAGAAUGAAGGCUACAACUUGAGGAACUAGAUGAAUAGCUGACACAUAAACCGAGGACACACGAUAAACCAAAACCAUGCCAUGACGAGCUCAAUAUUUCACCAAAUCAACUUAAGGUUGGAGACAAAGUACUACUAGAUGCGGUAGACCCUCGUAUUGCUACGUCUGAACCUAACGGAGCAAUCCCUCUUACAGUACUCAACAUUUUCCCAUAUGGUACAGUCGAGGUUAUUCAUCCCAAACUCGGCACUUUUAAGGUAAACAGUACUCGUCUUAAACCUUAUUUUGAUAAAAUUGAUAGCAGGGAUGAGGAGUGUGAACUCCUCACAUCACAAUGACCAUGCAACAGAAAGGUAAGUCGAGCUUAGACUAUAAAUAAGCGUUUUUCGGGAGGCAACCCGAGCAUUAAUGAUGUUAACUUUUUUAAAAUUUUAGUUUUUUACAUCUAAUCACUAACUGAGUCAGUGAAACACAGGUUUUCUAAUCUACACGGCCAAGCACACGGACAUGCCUUAGGCCGUGCUCACACCAUGGGAGGAGACACAGCCGUGCGAUACUGCCGUGUGAAAACAGGGUAAAAUUUUUCCUUAACACGGGAUGUGAUAAGUUGCCACGGCCGUGCGAUGUAGCCGUGGGCGAGUCUUUCAAACCAACACAGGCGUGUGACACACCCGUGUCUAUAAACCAUGGUUGAAACUGAGAAUUUAGCACGAGCAUGUCCUAUCAACCGUGCUCAAGACUGAAAAAAGAACACGGGCGUGGACAUCUAUACACGGGCAUUGGAGAAGAGAAUGAAACAGAACAUGGUCGUGUGACACAGACGUGUGCACCAACACGCCCAAAGAGCACGGGCGUGUGAAGAAUUUCAGACACGCCCAAAUUUGAAAAUUACGAUAAACACGAGCUGAAAUAAGGGCACAUGGGGGUGCCCCACGACCGUGUGCCCCAAAAUCUAUAUAAACCCCUUACUAUUCAUCACCCCCUUCCCCAAAAUCUCUAACCCUAGCCGCUGCAACUUCACAUGCCCUACCUGCCACGCCCGUGCACCGUCCACAGCACCACCUUUGACAACCCAAAGCUCCUCCCUCUUACGUUUGUACAUUUUUUUCCUUCUAUUCUCUUCAUUCUUUUACUUAUUUGAUGAUAUUUUAUUUUAUUUUGAGUAAAUAAUCAUAGUUAUAAUGAUAGAAUACUUAUGCUCUUUGUUAAGAAAUUUACCAUUUUAAUUGAUAUAUUUUGCUGCAUUUAUCCACUUUUCUUGUUUCCAUAGAUUUCAUGCUUACCCACACCAUAUUUCAUACUUAUUAAACCCACAUGCAUUCAUUCAAUAGAUAUUUCCAUUAGCAUUACUCUCGUAGUCCUAUUCAUAGUAAUGACUUAAUAUAUCUGAUUGGGUUAUUUUUAGUAUAGUUGUUCUUUAGUACAUGACUUCUAUGAAGUAUCUCUAUUAGUUUUACCAUGCAUAUUUUCUAUGCUAUUGCUGGGGAGUAAUUUUAUUUUUUAUUUUUUCUUGCCAUUGUAGGUAUACUAUCUCAACCUUACGUGGUAAGGAGACCGCCAUCCCCUCUUCGAAGAAAAGGAAAGGAGCAACGUCAUCCUCAGGUCCUACCGCUGAGAUCCGUUACCCUUUCCUCCAGUUUCCCUUUGGACCCCAGGAGGAACUAUUUCAGAUAUUACGGGUCCGACCCUUAGGUGUAGGCCACUGCAUUGACUGGGCUGCACUUAAAAAAAUUCAAAUGGCUGACGUGGUCCAAGCCCUCCUGACGACUACCCGUGGAGGCUUUUCUUUGAGAUCAUCGAGCCGAUGUACCACGAGCUCACAAUGGAACUCUACUCGACCUUCCAUCUUCAAGUCGCCAUGAUAAACUGCGACGAUCCUAGAACGGUCCAAUUCCACCUCAGUGGUCUAGUGCGCCAGUUGAGCGUACCGAAGUUCAGAAUUGCACUAGGGCUGUAUAUGGAAGAGUUCAUGGAUGACAACGAACUUGACACCCUCUAUUGCCACAUCCACUACUCUCUCUCCAAAUGCUGGAAGGACUUUGUCCCUGCCUCGGCCACCUAUGAUCCUAACUACUCUAAGGCAUCAGCCCUCACCCCAUCCCUGUGAUACCUACACGCCAUCUUAGCCCACACUCUGACAGGGCGGCGAGAGAGCACCGGCAUCAUCAACACUCACGACGCCUACUUUUUAUAGAGCAUGGCAAACGGGCACGUCUUCGACCUUGCCUAUUUCAUUGCUCUCGCCAUCCGCCAUCAGACGGAGCGGCAUAGGAGAGGAGUUAUCACCAUUAGCCACUAUGUGACUCGACUGGCACGGCACUUCGGGCUCCUCAACACAGCAGCAUAAUCAUCCUCACUCACUCUCAUUGGUCAUAUGUCCCCUCAAGGCAUCUCGAGUAUGCUACAUAUGAGGAUGCUCGAGAAACGACGUGGAACUUACCCUCCUCAGUACCGCCUCGUCCAGUCCACUAAAGAGGAGAACCCAUAAGACAUUACUGAUGAUGUCCCUCCACGUCAUGAGGACCCACCGUCUCAACCAUCACCCAUCCAUCGUCCAGUUCAUGCGGUGGCUUCAUACUCUGAUAUCUCUAAGCACCUUACUCGAUUUAAGCAGCAGUGUUUUCAGUGCUUUGAUCACAUUGAUGCUACUCUUCAUCAGAUUUGUCAGCACCUUCACAUCUCAUCGCCACCACCACCUCGCGAACCAUCCGGCGAUGCUGAUGUUUAAAGACUUUUUAUUUUUUAUUUUUAUUUCCACUUUUAUCUUUAUUUAUCUUCUUUAAGUAGUUUUUAUUUUAUUUUCCUUUAAUAUUAUUUCAAUUUUAGGUUUUAUAAUUUUUAUUGAAUAAUUUAUAGUUUUGGCUAUUUUAUUACGAGUAAUUAUGCUUCCUUAUAUUUCCUAAAGAGUUCUUGAUUUUAUCACAGUUAUAAAGAGCUCUAAAGCUCAUCAUCACUUAGGAACUAAAAAAUCACUGGAAAAGGUUCUCCACAACUGUCAAGUCCUGCUCGACCACGACCACAGCUACUACCAGAUAUAAUAUUCUGUUGGCGCAGGACUUAUGGACUAAUGAACCUCUACCACCACCGGAGUAUCCUCCUCCACUCUCAUCAUUGCCUUGGCUGAUUAUUCUCCAUAACUCCAAUUGAAGGAGUUCAUUCAUCAUUCAGGAAGUUUAACUUCUCUUCUUAUCUUAUGAGUAUUUAUCUAUAUUUUUCAGUAUAUCUAUCUUUGUACAUUGAGGGCAAUAUACAUCUUAAGUGUAGAGGGUCUUUUAUAUCAUUAUCAGAAAAAUCCCUGAAUUUUAUCUUGUUCUCAAAUCAUCUUCUCAUAUCAUUAUUAGAAUAAAAUUUGAUUAAUUUAUGAUUGUUAUUGAUAUGUCUUCAAUUAAAACAUAGGCAUUCAUGUAUUGAUUGUUUAAACUUUAAGGAAUUAGAUAAUCAAGCAGGAUAAGUUGAUUUUUGAGAAUUAAAAAUUUUUAGGUUGUUUCCCCAAGUUUAGGUAUUAUCUCGAGUUAAAAUUCACAGGGUUAACAUCAACAAGCCAUAAUUUCUGUAAGAUCUUGAGCCUUUAGAGCAACUAUUAUUUCUUUCAUGCUCACUGUUAUUAUUGAUAAUGAGUGUGUCAAUAUUGAUUUAUUAUUCUAGAACUUGCUUGAUUAUGCAUGUCAAGACCACACCCUUGAGUUAAUAUGUCAAUAUGAUAAAGGCACCUAGGUUUAACCCACUCACUCCAUAAAAGCAUACCUUCAUAAUUUACCCUUAGUGAACCCCUUUGAGCCUAACAAGCCAUUAAUUGAUUUACCCUCAAUGUUAACCCAUAACACAUUAUUGUUGAAAUCCCCUAAUUUGAUCCCUAUUUUUGUCGAGAUUUGAUUUGAAUUAUUGCAUAGCUAUGUUUUAUUCUUCGUUGCAAUAAUUAGCAAAGUCCUAUGUUAUUUCACUUGUUUAUUUCACUUGUUCCUAAAAAAAAAUACAAUACUUACUUACAUAUUAAUAGUAAUUCGUCAUUUUUGAGCUUAAGUGUUAAUUCCAUAUUCUAAGAAGAAGCUCACUCGUAUUCAACUUAUAAUUAGUUGUUUUUCUAGUUAGGUGAUUUUUUUAAUUCAAUCUCGAUUCUAACCUUUCCUUUUAGCUUGUGACCACACCCCCUAACCAAAGCCACGUUACAACCCUCUAAAGACCUUUUGAUUGAUGUAUCAUCUCAAUAUAUAGUGGUGGAGAUUUGAUUUUCUGCAAGCCUAUGGUAAUAACUUUUCAUAUUGACUAAUGAGUGCUUCAUUUAUUAUCCUUAAACACCUCGAGUGAUUUGAGUGAAUCUUUAGUGAGGAUGUUAAACUCCGUGAUAUUUUGAAUCAAAGGUAAUCACUUAGAUGAGGGGAGACACCUAUGUUUUCGUGAUGAAAUGCUCAACUUGGAAUGUUUGAAACUUUGAUAUUCUUCUAGUUGAAUUCUCCAUGUAUGAUUACUUAUGAUUUAUUUUAAGAUAUUAUUGAUAGAGAUUAUAGAUUGAGAAGAAUUUAUUUUGAUUGUGAGUUGAGGAUUUUGCUUGAGGACAAGCAAACGCUUAAGUGUGAGAGUUUUUGAUAAACCGCAAUUUAUACAUAUUUUUAUCCCAUGCUUAGCACAUUUAUAUAUGAUUUCUCCUUAGAUUUGGUGAAUUUGAUGCACCAAAUCCUUUAAUUUCAUGUUUUAUACUUAGGUGACCAUAGCAGAGUAAAAAGAGCGAGAAACAGGUCGACAACGGAGAAAAAUAGACCCACAUGGGAAAUCGACACGGCCUGGACUUCCUCACACGGGUAAGCCACACGGCCAUGUCCAUUUGGCAGGAUCGGCGUACAAUUUACACAGGUAGACUACAUGCCCACGAUUAUUUAGCAACCUUCACCACGGUUUGGAGCAAUCGCACACGGGCGUGUCACACAGGCGUGUCCCUGUCGAGCCCAAGUAAAGUCCUAUUCGAAAAAGGCCACUUUUGAUGGCUCUUAGGCAUUCUAAAGCCUAUUUAAACACCUGAGGAGGCAGUUAGAACGGGGGGACACAGAGUAGGAAGCAAUGAAUUACUCGAAAAAAGCCGAUUGAUCCAUCUCAGAAGCUGGAUUAUUCAUCAAGACUGAAGAUCUCUCUUCAAUUUCCAUUCAAGAGUUUUGGGUUUUCUUUAUGUUUUGUAUUCAUUAUUCUUCUAAGGGGAAUGAAACUUAAGACGAAUCUUGUUAUUAUUAUCUAAAUUAUAAGAUAAAUAUUUGACUUGUUCUUAAUUAUGUAUUCUUAAUUCUUGUCUUAAUAUUUCAGGAUAUUGAUUCAGGUUAAUGCGCUUAUUCAGAGGAGCAAAAGUCCCUGUCUAAGAGUAAAUUUGUCAUAAUUAAGUGGAGUUGAUUGCACGCCUAGAGAUAGGGUGACAAGAUUUUACCAGAUUAUGGUGAAACCUAAUAAGGGAUCCAUAGAUCGAGUAAAUGCAACACUAGGGCGUUAAUUACAAAGAGAUUUCAAUUAAUCAACCUAGGGUUAGAUGUUAUUAGUCUCGAGAGAGAUAAUAAUAUAACUUAGGGAUUUCUACGAAUCAAGUUAAAUGAACAAAUCGCCUGAUUCAGAGUCAAAUAACAAGUGAAUCUAGGUGGAUUUUUCCUUGGGUAUUGUCUUUAUUAAUCGAAUUUUCUAAAAAGUAUUUUCCCAAUUUUUAGGCUAGAUAAUAAAAAGAAAGUAAUUACUAGUACUCUUGGUUCCUUUGGGUUCGACAAUUCGGUCUUGUUAAAGCUAUACUACUGUUCGAUAGGUACACUUGCCUUCAUCGUGAUAAUAGUUGGUUUUAAGAACGAUCAUUUAUAAAUUAUUUAAAACUUAUCGCAAAUAUCAUAAAUCAGUAGUCGUUUUACAUGGAUUUAUCUCAUUAAAUGAAUGUCUCAGAUGGUUGACUAUUUUUUUCAGUUUCAAAAAAUGGUCAAAACUCAGUUUGGGAAAGAUAUUAAAAAUUUUCAAAGUGAUUGGGGUGGUGAGUUUCGUGCCUUCGCAUCAACUCUUGCUAUUCAUGGGAUACUUCAUCACCUCUCCCGUCCACAUACAUCCGAGCAGAACGGUAUAGCCAAACCAAAACAUCAAGACAUUGUUGAGAUAGGUCUUACUCUCUUGACCCAAGCUAAUAUGCCCAUGGAUUUCUGGGGUUACGUGUUUUGCAGUGUCGUUUAUCUCAUUAAUCGUCCACCUACCUUGGUUUUGAAAGGUCAAUCUCCGUAUUAAGUUCUUCAUGGUAGUGACCCUACAUAUGAUCAUUUACGGGUGUUUGGGUGUUAUUUCUUUCCAUACUUGCGUCUGUUUCUGCAACAGAACUUGGAUUUUUGUUCUCAGCCUUGCACAUUUUUAGGGUAUAGUUCUCAACAUAAAGGCUAUCACUGCCUCACACCAGAUGGUAAGGCCAUUGUCUCUUAUCAUGUUGUGUUUGAUGAACGUCGAUUUCUCUUUUUUUUUAUGUUGCAAACACCGUCCAGUCAGGUCCAUGUAUCUCUACAUAUGUUCCUAUUGCUCAGUCUUCAUCUGCCGCGCCACGGCAUCCUCGCUUGUUCAGCCCAUUAAGUCCUCUUGACUCUUACUCCUAAUUGUAGUUCCAAGACGUCUAUUUCAGUUGACUCUCCGACUGAAUUGGGUUCUACUCAUGAGGUGCACCGGCUCUUCACCUCAUCUCCUGAAUCACGUCAAUGCGACUCUACUACAAUUCCCUCGGUUAUUCCAUCUAUUUUUCUAGAGAAUACUCAUAACAUGAUUACUCGGUCUAAGGCUAGUAUUUCUAAACCCAAAGCUUUCUCUGUUGAAACUGUCGACUAUGAGCCACACACGAUUGAUGAGGCACUCGCUAGUAAGGAAUGGCAAUUAGUUGUCCAAGCUGAGUUUGUUGCUCUAAUGGCUAACUCUACCUGGGAGCUUGUUCCCUUACUUCAUUGUCGAAAAGUGAUUGGGUGUAAGUGGCUUUUUAAAAUAAAAAAAAUCCUGAUGGGGCUAUCACUUGGCACAAGGCUCAGCUGGUAGCAAUGGGUUGUUCUUAGGUACCUGGGUGUGAUUUCAAAGAAACCUUUAGUCUAAUGGUUACACCUACUACUAUUAGAAAAAUAUUGUCUAUUUCUGUUUCCAAUGGGUGAAAACUUCGUCAAAUCGAUGUGAAUAAUACCUUUUAAGAUGGUGAUCUCACUGACGAAGUGUUUAUGCAACAACCUUCAGGCUAUGUUCAGAUUGGUCCAUAUCGUGAGCUAUUGGUGUGUCGUCUGAAAAAGGAGUUGUAUGGAUUACGACAAGCUCCACGUGCCUGGUUUGAUAAAUUGAAACAUUUUUUCUACCAGAUUUGUGUUAUCCAAAUCUGAUGCAUCCCUGUUUGUUCGAGUUACGUACGUAUCCACUAUUUAUGUUCUAAUCUAUGUGGAUGAUAUUACCGUUACUGAAAGUACGACUGACGGUAUAAAUGACUUUAUUCAACAGUUACAUAAUAAGUUUUCCCUUAAAGAUAUGGGAGAUCUUCACUACUUCUUAGGUAUUCAAGUCACUCGGUCAUCCACUAGAAGUCUUCAUUUGUGCCAACGCAAAUACAUCUAGGAUCUGCUUGACAGGAGUUCCUGGGCUAACGUGAAAAGUGUUCACACACUGAUGGUUAGUUCUUUUACAUUGUCUAAAGAUGAGAAAAAUCACCUCGUUGAUCCCACUAAAUAUAGGAGCCUUGCCGGAGCAUUACAAUAUGUGGUCUUAACUCGGCCUAAUAUUGCUUAUGCGGUAAAUCGUGUUUGUCAAUUCAUGCAUAUGCCUACUACGGUACAUUUGGUGGCUUUGAAAAUAAUCUUGCGCUAUUUACGUGGCACUAUUGAUCAUGGGUUAAUUUUUCGUCCGUUCGACAGAUUGUCUUUAGUUGGCUAUGCUGAUUCCAACUGGGGACUGGAUUUUGAUGAUCGUCAGUCAACCAUAGACUAUUGUGUGUAUUUUGGACAUACAUCCAUCUUUUUGUGUUCUAUGAACCAACAAGUUAUUUUUCACUCCACGGCUGAUGCGAAGUAUCGUAGUCUAGCAGUAGCUACCAGUGAUGUUACUUGGUUAGCCUCUCUGUUAACGAAUUUAAAAAUUUGUUCUGCAAAUCCACUUACUAUUUGGUGUGACAAAUCUAGUGCAAUAGUGGUUGCUGCUAAUCCGGUUUUACACUCCAAAUUUAAACAUGGCGAGCUUGAUCUAUUUUUUGUUCGCGAAAAUGUCACUAAUGGUUCUCUCAUUGUUGGCGAAGUUCCGGCAUGUGAUCAGGUUGCUAGUAUUCUCACAAAACCAUUGUCCAUCUCUACUUUUGCUAGGUUUCAUAGUCUGCCUCAAGUCUUACCUCUUGAGAAGCUGGAUGAAGCCGGGUGAAUAUUAGAGUAUAGACUCUAUUAGUCUGUUACCAUUUUGUUAUACAGGCUAGAAUAUUGUUAGUAACCAGUUAGCAGCAAUUAGUCAUAGCAGUUAGUCAUACAAGUAUAAAUUCUAUUUAUGUAUAGUUCAAAGGUAAGCUAAUAAUACCAGAAGAGAUUUAACGUGUUCAUUCUACUUUCUUUGUUAUUCUUCAUAAUACAGUUGUUAACAGGCUUGAUAUCAUCUCUUAGAGAAAACUAGGAGAGAUAAGAGUAAGAGUAUGAGCAAACUAUGGAUAAGGCUCUACCAUAAUACCUUAGAUGCAGUUAAAGUAAGAGUAAGAGCCAACUUGUUUGGCUUGAUAGCAUCCCCUUAUAGAAAAAGCUCUACCGCAUGGCAUUAGAGCAAUAAAAGUAACACUUAAUUUCUUGGUUGAUAGCAUCUCGUAGGGGAAAAAGGUUUACCAUGUGACAUGAAAGUAAUUAAAGUAAGAUUAAGAGCUAACUUGUUUGUCUUAAUCGCAUUGUUUAAGAGAGAUCCAAAUAAAUUUACUCAAAAUAUGUUAAUCAAAUAAUGCAAAUUACAAUGUUUUGUCAAUUUUUCCUUUAAUUGUAACUGGGUUAAAGUUGGUAGUUGUAACUGGUACUAAUAGAAUAGAUUUGGUAGAAAUGGUUGAAAGCAACAUAAGCAAAGAUGACUUUGAUGUCAUUGUAUUGACCACGUGGGAACUAUAGAAUGUAGAGAAUAGUAUGGUGAUUGGCAUCAGAAUGUUGCUAACUUUGAGGACAGUAGAUAAGGAUGGAUCCAAAGGGGCUGUGGGCGGCCCCCUUGAAAUUUUCAAAUUUUUGAAUUUAUAUAUAAAUUAUCAUGUAUUUUAGAUUUGGUGUCCACAUUGUAUAACAUUCACCCCCUUUGCCAAAUUGUAUUUCAUAUCAUUCGCCCCCUUAAACCAUAAGGUUAUACUUUAUAUUAACAAAGUAUUUUCCAUUUUUUUUAAUUAUAUAAAUUUAAUAAUAACAAUAAUAAUAAAAUAUUAAUGUAUGAUAGGCAUUGAAAGACUAAACUUAUAGGUCCAAUUUGGACUUUAAAGCCAAAUUCUAUAAUUAAUUAAUUGAUUUGGCUCAUACCUAUACAUAUUAGGUUAGCGACUUUCUUGUAUUUUGAUUUGUAUGUCUUCUUAAGGAAUUAUCUUCCUUUGGUAAAGUGUUGACACUACCAAGAGAAAAAGAAAGGAUUUUGAUGACGAGACUAAGAGUAUAGAGCAAAAAUAUACAAAUUAUCUUCCUCUUGGCUCCUUAUGCAAAAAACCUCUCGGUAAAUUUUUUGCAUAAAUUAUGUUCUUUAUUUAUUUGACUUAUUUUUUUUAUUUUUUCCUAAUAUAUUUUGUUUAAUAUAUUAUUAAAAUCAUCAGGUUUUUCGAUUAAAUAAUGGUCAAUAAAAAGAUCGAAUCUAUUUUUUUAAAAAAAAGGUGUCAGAAAGCAAUAGUGAUCAACCAGUUCCUUAACCUUCUGUUAUUCGUGAAGAAAAACCAAAUAUUGGAUAUUCCCAAGCUCCUGAAUGAAAUAUUAGGUCUUAUCAAGCCCAAACUUUUGAAUGCGAUAUGGAGUCUUCCCCAGUUCUUAAACUAGAUUGUUACACUCCUUACCUGAUCCGAUCACCAAAUCCAUGUAGAGAGUACCACAACUUAAACCAUAUGAAUUGAAUAAUAAAUAUUUGAAAUUUAUUAAAGUAUCGAGUUCUUGGUGUAACCCUCAGUAUAAUAAUAUGAAACAAUCAAAUCAAUGAUACGCCAGGAACAAACAUUUUUAGGAAAAACACAUGGCGGAAACCUUACAAAAGUUUAUAAGUUUAUAUGAAAUGUAAGAUGAGUUAAUCCCAUACAAUAGUUUCAAGUGCAUUUUUGGCAGUUAAAACAACACUCUAAAACUAUUUGGUGUAGAUGCCAAUGAGACAAUCAUGUGGAAUAAGAUAUAGUAGCAUAAACACAUACAUCACUUACCAUGUCAUUAUAACAUAUACUAACCACAUAAACAAAUUUCUCGAGCUGCGAACGAACAAGUUUACCCAAACAUCUGGGGUUGGUAGAUAGCUUAUCAGAAAAGCCCUCCAAAUCCUAGAGUUCACCAAAACCUGGAGUUCGCCAAAUAGAGAUUCCCAUAGAAUACGCCAAACACACAACCAAAAAACAAAUACUCUACUAACUUACUUAUUUUUUAUUCUUAGCAUAAACAACUAUGCGCCAAAAAGUAACUUGAUACAUUAUCCAUCAGGCGGGUUGUUACAAUUCUCCCUCACUUAGAAAAUUUUGUCCUCAAAAUUCUUAACGGUGAAUAACUGAGGAUAUUGUUCUUUUAUUGAACUCUCUCUUUCCCAAGUGGAUUCUUUUUUAUUGUGAUUUCUCCAUAAUACAUUAACAAAAGGAAUUCUUUUUCUUCUCAACUUUUUUACCUCCCUUGCUAAUGCGAACAGGUUCUUCUUCAUAGGAUAUGUUUGGCUCCUUUUCUAAUGCUUUGACUUGUACCACAUGAUCUGGUUUGGAUUGAUAUUUUCUUAACACGAACACAUUAAUCACAUUGUGUAUCUUUGAUAACUCUAGUGGCAACACCAAUCUGUAUGCCACUGGACCAACCAGUUCCAAAAUCUCAUAUGGUCCUACGAAAUGCAGACUUAAUUUCCCUUUUUAUUCUAACCUUAUGAUAUUCUUCCAAAGAGAAAACUUCAUAAAUACAUUGUCACCCACUUCGAAAGAGAUUUCUUUCCUUUUUAGAUCAACAUAAGCUUUCUGACGAUCUUAAGUUACUUUCAGAUGAUUUCAAAUAAUAGAGACUUUCUCUUCUGUUUCUUGUACUAAAUCAAAACCAACUAUUUUCCUUUCACUGAGUUCCAUCCAACAGGUGGGAGAUCUACGCUUUCUUCCAUACAAAGCUUCAAAUGGUGAUAUUUCUAGAUUGGCGUGAUGACUAUAAUUAUACACAAACUUUGGCAAAGAAAGAUAUCUUUCUCAAUUCAUUCUGAAAUCUAUAAUACAACUUCUGAGCAUGUCUUCCAAAACUUGAAUUACUCUUUCAAAUUGUUCACCUGAUUAGGGAUGAAAGGCAGUACUGAAUCAUAUCUUGGUUCCUAACGAUUCUUGUUGUUGUCUUCAAAAUCUUGAUGUAAACAUUAGGUCUCGAUCUAAAACUACGGAUGUUGGAAUCCCAUGAAGACAUACAACUUCAGAAACGCAGAGCUUAGCCAACUUUUCCAAUGAGUAAUUUGUGCGGGCAAACAAGAAAUAGACUGACUUAGUAAGUCGAUCUACAAUUGCGCAAACUGAAUUCUUCUUUGAAAGGCUGAAAGGGAGAGCCAAAACAAAAUCCAUGGUGAUGUUAUCCCACUUCCACUUAGGUAUCUCUAAAGGGUACAACUUGCCUAAGGGAACCUGAUGUUCUGUUUUAAUCCGCUGACAUGUCAAAGAAAUGGAGAUGUACUCUGUUAUUUCUUUCUUCAUUCCAGGUCACCAAUACAAACUUCUCAAAUUACGAUACAUUUUAUGUAAUGCUCUCAACCCGACUCGAUAUGUCGAGUUUGGAUCUCGGGUAUUACUAUACACAGUACUUAGUAAAAUAUCAAAAUAGCUGACAAAUACUCUUUACUAAAAACAUUUUCUUAUUAUUUUAACCGAAAGAGUAAAUAUUUAAUAACAAGGGUAAAUAUUAGAAAUAAAAUAAAUUAUUACAUCAGACUUGGUACAACUGAUUAUAGUAUAAAAUUUUGUUAAAGACAGACUCUUGGGGAAUAACCCUAAUCUAUGCCACUUUUCCACUAUAUACAUAAUAACCCACUUCAGCACUAUCUUGGCAUACUCCUAGCAUCGUCACUCCUAACGCAUUCUCUACCCAUACACCUAAAAACAACAACAUUAUAAGCUCAAGAGAACUUAGUGAAUUUUAUCCCAAAAAUACCUUGGCGAGUACUUUAAUUAUUUGACUAACAUCUGUGCGCCAUCUAUCUUUUUAAACCACCUUCUUCUGAAUCAGACGGAUACUAUUACAGAUUCGACUUUCACUUAUACGCCAGCUAUCAUACUCUUAACACACUCACUUAUUCUAGAACAGUUUUUCACAUAUAUUAAUCAUUGACAGAUACAUACAUUUUUGGUGAAUACUUACGCAGAUCUAAAUACCAUCAAACUACUAAUCAAAUCAUACAUUGAUUCGAUACCAUACAAACUCCCAUUGAUAAUGUACUACACAAUUUAUUCAAAUGAAUUUUCCACUACUUUGUUACAGGACCCCAGAAAAUCAUCAUAACAAUAACUCAAUUUCCAUAUGAUUUCAAAAAAGGAUAUAAUACAACCCAAAUAUGGCGAAUUCCAGACAACUCAGAUUCAACAACUGUAUAACAUAGACAAAAUCACAUUGAUAAUUUCUUAUGUCCCAAAUAACUAUGAAUACGUCCAUAUUCAAUACUAACAGAUAAUCAUGACGGAUACCCUUCUUAUACAUAUAUGCAUUUCUUUUCUAAAAAUCUCUUAAGACUUACUCAGUUAUAUCACAGAUCUUAUUCAACCUUUAACUUCAGACGUAUCAUAAACCUAUCAGAUCAAUAUCUGUCACAAAGAAAUUGGCAUUUACCCAGAUUUUACAAUAAAGGCAGAUAAUCAUAUUAUAGUAGACAAACUUAACUGAAAGUGCUACAAAGGCCAAACAAAAUAUGCCAUAAAGGCUUCAUACAAAAUCAUGUGUUUACUAUCUCGACGGAUGAUACAUGAUAUUCGUGACAGGUUUUAAAAAUUUAUAAUUAAUCGUUCUUUAAAUUAACUAUUAUCACGAUGAAGGCAAGUGUACCUCUCGAACAGUAAUAUAGCUUUAGCAAGACCGGAUGGUCGAACCCAAAGGAACCAAGAGUACUAGUAAUUGCUUUCUUUUUAUUAUCUAGCCUAAAAAUUAAGGGAUUUAUUUAUCUAAUUAAUUAACUAAACUAAGGGUGCACAGAAAGAAAAUUGGGGAAAAGCUUUUGGGAAAACUCGAUUGAUUAAGACAAUACCCAAGAAAAAAUCCACCUAGACUUCACUUAUUAUUUGACUCUAAAUCAGACGAUUUAUUCAUUUGACUUGAUCCGUAGAAAUCCCUAAGUUAUAUUAUUAUCUCUCUUGAGACUAAUAACGUCUAACCCUAGGCUGAUAAUUGAAAUCUCUUUCUAAUUAACACUCUAGUGUUGCAUUAACUCGAUCUAUGGACUCCCUUAUUAGGUUUCACCCUAAUCCAGUAAAAUCUUGUCACCCUAUCUCUAGGCGUGCAAUCAACUCCGCUUAAUUAUGAAAAAUUUACUCUUAGAUAAGGACUUUUGCUCCUCUAAAUAAGCACAUUAACUUGAAUCAAUAUCUUGGAAUACUAAAACAAGAAUUAAGAACACAUAAUUAAGAACAAGUCAAAUAUUUAUCAUACAAUUCAGAAAAUAAUAACAAGAUCCGUCUUAGGUUUCAUUCCCCUUAGGUAUUUUGAGGUUUUAGUUCAUAAUUAUGAAAGAAAACAUCUCAAAAGAAUAAUGAUAACAAAACAUAAAGAAAACCCAAAACUCCUGAAGGAAAUUGAAGGGAGAUCCUCAGUCUUGACGAUGAAUCCGGCUUUUGAAAUGGAUCAAUCGGCUUUCCUUGAGUAAUUCAUUGCCUCCUACUCCCUAUGUAUCUUCUAAGUGCCUCCUCAGGUGUUUAAAUAGGCUUUAUAAUGUCUAAAAGCCCUCAAGAGUGGCCUUUUCUGAAUAGGACUGAACUUGGGCUCGAUAGGGACACGCCCGUGUGACACGCUCGUGUGCAAUUGCUUCAGACCGUAGUCAAGGCUACUAAAUAGGCAUGGGCGUGUGGUCUACCCGUGUGAGGAAGUCCAGGCCGUGUUGAUUUCUGAUGUUGGUCCAUUUUCUUCAUUUUCAGCCCGUUUCUCGCUCUUUUUACUCUCUUAUGCUCACCAAAGUAUAAAACAUGAAAUUAAAGGAUUAGGAGCAUCGAAUUCACCAAAUCUAAGGAGAAUUCAUCCAAAAAUAUGCUAAGCAUGAGGUAAAAAUAUGUAUAAAUUAUGGUUUAUUAAAUACCCCCACACUUAAGCGUUUGCUUGUCCUCUAGCAAAAUCCUCAACUCAAAAUCAAAAUAAAUUCUUCUUAACUUGUAACCCCUAUCAAUAAUAUCUCAAAAUAAACCAUAAGUAAUCAUGUAUUGAGAAUUCAACUAGAAAAGCAUUAAAGUCUCAAACAUUCCAAGUCGAGCAUUUUAUCACGAAAACAUAGGUGUUUCCCCUCAUCUAAGUGAUUACCUUUGAUUCAAAAUAUCACAAAGUUUUAACAUCCUCACUAAAGAUUCACUCAAAUCACUCGAGGUGUUUAAGGAUAAUAAAUGAAGCACUCAUUAGUCAAUAUGAAAAGUUAUUACCAAAGGCUUGUAUGAAAGUCAAAUCUCCACCACUAUAAAUUGAGAUGAUACAUCAAUCAAAAGGUCUUUAGAGGGUUGUAAAGUGGCUUUUGUUAGGGGGUGUAGUCACAAGCUGAAAGAAAGGUUAGAAUCAAGAUUGAAUUGAAAAAUUACCUAACUAGAAAAAUAACUAGUCAUUACUUGAAUACAUGUAAACUUCUUCUCAAAAUAUGAAAUUGAACACUUAAGCUCGAAAACAACGAAUUACUACUAAUAUAUGUAUGUAUUAUAAUUUUUUUUAAGAACAAGUCAAAUAAUAUAGGUUAAUUAUCAAAAAUAAAACAUAGCUAAGUAAUUUAUUCAAAUUAAAUCUCGACAAAAAUUGGGAUCAACUUGAUUGAGGGGAUUUCAACAGUAAUAGGUUAUAGGUUAAUAUUGAGGGUAAAUCAAUGGAUAGUUUGUUAGGCUCAAAGGGGUUCACUAAGGACAAAUUAUGAAGGUAGGCUUUUGUGGAGUGAGUGGGUUAAACCUAAGUGCCUUUAUCAUCUCGACAUAUUAAAUCAAAUGGUGUGGUCUUGACAUGCAUAAUCAAGCAAGUUCUAGAAUAACAAAUCAAUACUGACGCACUCAUAAUAAAAGUGAGCAUGAAAGAAAUAAAAUAUGAUCUAAAAGCUUAAAAUCUCACAAAAAAUUAUGGCUUUUUGAUGUUGAACCUGUGAAUUUCAACUCAAGAUAAUACCUAAACUUGGGGAAACAACCUAAAAAUUUUAAAUACUCAAAAAUCAACUUAUCAUGUCUGAUUUUCUAAUUCCUUCAAAGUUUAAACGGUCAAUGCAUAAAUACCUAUGUUUUAAUUCAAGACAUAUCAAUAAAAAUCAUAAAUUAAUCAAAAUUCAUUCUAAUAAUGAUAUGAGAAGAUUAUUUGAGAACAAGACAAAAUUUAAGGAUUUUUUUGAUAAUGAUAUAAAGGCCCCCCACACUUAAGAUGUACAUUGCCCUCAAUGUACAAAGUUAGAUUUACAACGAUAUAGAUAUAAGAUCAUAAGAUAGGGAGAGAAGUGAAACUUCCUGAAUAAUGAAUGAACUCCUUGAAUUGGAGUUAUGGAGAAUAAUCGGCAAAGGCAAUGAUAAGAUUGGAGGAGGAUACUUCGGUGGUGGUAGAGGUUGGGUUCCACAACCUCAGUGUCCAGCGAAGAAGUUAUCGUGGUGGUCGAGCAAGACAUUACAGUUAUGGAGAACCUUUUCCAGUGGAGUUUCAAGUUUCUAAGUGAUGGUGAGCUUUGGGGCUCUUAGUAACUGUGAUAAAAUCAAGAACUCUUUAAGAAAUGUAAGGAAGCAUAAUUACACGUAAUGAAAUAGCUGAAACUAUAAAUUAUUCAAUAAAAAUUAUAAAACCUAAAAAUGAAAUAAUAUUAAAGGAAAAUAAAAUAAAAAGUACUUAAAAAUGUAAAUAAAAAUAAAAUAUAAAAAGUUUUUAAACAUCGUCAUCGCUGGAUGGUUCGCAAGGUGGUGGUGGUGAUGAGAUGUGAAGGUGCUGACAAAUCUGAUGUAGAGUAGCAUCAAUGUUAUCAAAGCGCUGAAAACACUAUUGCUCAAAUCAAUAAGGCACUCAGAGAUGUCAGAGUAUGAAAUCGCCGCAUGAACUGGACGAUAGAUGGGUUGUGGCUGAAAUGGUGGGUCCUCAUGACGUGGAGGGACAUCAUUAGUAAUUCCUCCGGGUCCUCCUCCUCGGCUGACUGGAUGAGGCGGUACUGAGCAGAAUCGAUUCCAUGUCAUUUCUCGAUCAUCCUCAUAUGUAGCAUGCUUGAAAUACCCUGUGGGGACAUCUGGCCGAUGAGAGUGAGCGAGAAUGAUUGUGCCACUGUGUUAAAGAGUCCAAAGUGCCGAAUCAAUCGAGUCACAUAGGGGCCAAUAGAGAUGACUCCCUUCCUAUGCCGUUCCGUCUGAUGGCGAAUGGCGAAGGCAAUGAAAUAGGCGAGGUCGAAGAUGUGCCCAUUCGCCAUGCUCCAUAAAAAGUAGGCAUCGUGAGUGUUGACAAUGCCGGUGCUCUCUUGUCUUCCUGUCAGAGUGUGGGCCAAGAGGGCGUGUAGGUACCUCAAGGAUGGAGGGAGAGUUGAUGUUUUGGAACGGUUAGGGUCGUAGGUGGCCGAGGGAGGGACGAGGGCCUCCAGCACUUCGAGUGAGAGUAAUGGAUGUGGCGAUGAAGGAUGUCGAGUUCGUUGUAGUCCAUGAACUCCUCCGUAUACAGCCCUAGUACAAUUUUGAACUCCGGUACGCUCAAUUGGCACACUAAACCACCAAGACGAAACUGGACCGUUGUAGGAUCGUCGAACUCUGUCAUAACGGUUUGGAAGUGAAAGGUCGAAUAGAGUUCCAGUGUGAGCUUAAGGUAUAUCGGCUUGAUGAUCCCAAAGAAGAGCUCCCAUGGAUCAGUCGACAGAAGGGCUCUGACCGCGUCAACCAGUUGGACUUGUUCAAGUGCGGCCCAUUCAAUGCAGCGGCCCACACCUAAGGGUCAGGCCCGAAGUAUCUAAAAGAGUUCUUCCUAAGGUCCUAAGGGAAACUAAAUAAAGGGGUGCCUGAUCUCCACGGUAGGACCCAAGGAUGACACUGCUCAUUUCCUUUUCUUUGAAGCGGGGACAGCGAUUUUCUUACCAUGGUUUGACAUGAUAUCUGCAAUGGCAAGACGAAAAAAAUAAUAAAUAAAAAAGUAAACUUACUCUCCAACAAUAACAUGAAAAAACAUAUGCAAUGCAUGUUAAAACUAAUAGAGAUACUUUAUAGGAGUCAUGUACUAAAGAACAACUACGCUGAAAAAUAACCCAAUCAGAUAUAUUAAGUCAUUACUACGAAUAGGAAUAUGAUAAUAAUGCCUAGUGAAUGAAUGCAUAUGGAAAUGAUGAUAUGGAAAAUAGAAUGAAGUCCAUGGCAACACAAGAAUGGUGGUAUCAUAAUGCAUCAACUAAGAUAGCAAGAAACAAAGAGCAUAAGCAAGGCUAUUAUUAGAACUAUGAAGAUUAACAGUCAAAAUAAAACAAGAAAAAUCGAAUUCAUAAACGAAAUGAAGAGAAAAGAAUGGACAAACGCAAAAGCUUGGUAGAGGGAGGAGCUUGGGCCGUCGUUAGUGGUGUUGUGGUUGGCGCACGGGCGUGGCAGGAAGGCGUGGGCAAGAGUUACGGCGGCUACAGUUAGGGAUUUUGGGGAAGGGGAUGAUGAAUAUAAGGGGUUUAUUCAACUCGUGUUUAUCGCGAUUUUUAAAUUUGGGCACGUCUGAAAUUCGUCCCACGCCGAUGUCCUUUGGGCGUGUUGGUGCACAUGGCCGUGUCGUACGGUCGUGUCCUACUUCGUUCACUUCUCCCACGCUCGUGUGUAUAAGCACACGCCCGUGUUGUUUGAUCAGUCUUGAGCACGGUUGGUGGGCACGGGCGUGUCGCACACUUGUGCUAAAUUCUCAGUUUCAACCACGAUUUCAAGACACGGGCGUGUCACACGCCCGUGUUGAUUUGAAAGACUCACCCACGGCCACGUUACACAGCCGUGGCAACUUAUCACAUCUCGUGUUAAGCAAAAAUUUUUCCCUGUUUCCACACGGUCGUGUCGCAAGGCCGUGUCUCCUCCCGUAGUGUGAGCACGGCCUAAGGCACACCUGUGUGCCUCACCGUGUGAAUUAGAAAACCAGUAUUUCAAUGACUCAGUUAGUGAUUAGAUGUUAAAAACUAAAAUUUUAAAGAAGGUAACACUAUUAGUGCUCGGGUUACCUCGCGAAAAGCAUUUAUUUAUAGUCUAAGCUCGACUUACCUCUCUGUUGCAUAGUCAUGGUAGUGCAAGGAGUUUACACUCCUCAUCCCUGCUAUCAAUUUUAUCAAAAUAAGGUUUUAGACAAGUACUAUUUACCUUAAACGUACCGAAUUUGGGAUGAAUUACCUCGACUGUGCCGUAUGGGAAAAUACUAAGUACCGUAAGAGGGAUUUCUCCAUUAGGUUCAAAGGUGGCAAUCCGAAGGUCUGCUGCAUCUAAUAGUACUUUGUUUCCAACCUUAAGUUGAGUUGGAGAAAUAUUGAGCUCGUCAUGGCAUGGUUUUUUUUAUCGUGUGAUUUCGAUUUCUGUGUCUGCCAUUCAUCUAGUUCCUCAACCUGUAGCCUUGUUCUUCAUAGAUGGGUUCUUUGUCGUUAUUUGAAUGUGGCUCAAGUGUGUUUCUCGAAUGUGUUUCCUGCACAGAGGGUUUCACCACAUGAUCAGUACUGAUAGAAUUUCGAGCUUGAGGAGUAAUUGAUUCAUCACCCAUACGAAGUGUGAGUUUACUUGUGCCAACAUCAAUUAUAGUUUUAGCAGUUGCUAGAAAGGACCGUCUUAAAAUUAAAGGUGCGUCGCUAUCCUCUUCUAUGUCUAGAACAACAAAAUCAAUUGGGAAAAUAAAUUUAUCGAUUUUUACCAAUACAUCUUCAAUGAUACCCCUGGGAAAUCUAAUAGUUUUAUCAGCUAACUGAAUACUCAUCCUAGUUUGUUUAGGUUUCCCAAUACCUAGUUGUUUAAACAUUUUAUAAGGCAUGAAAUUGAUACUAGCCCCUAAAUCAGCCAAAGCGUUAUUAACAUCUAAGCUACCAAUUAAAUAAGGAAUCGUAAAACUCCUUGGAUCUUUCAAUUUGUUGGCCAUGAUGUCUCGUUGAGAGCACCAAAAAUAUCCUAUUCUCUGUAAAAUAGUAAAAAUAACAGUAAAAGGGAAGUAGGGUCGAAUCCUCAGGGACCGGAUUGUACAAAUGCUCGUUUCUUGAAAUCCUGGACAAUUUCUUGGCCAAGAAAACCUGCGUUCCUGAAAAAUAAAAAAAAUAAAAUUAAGAAUCUGGAAAAAAAAAUAGAAUUUAAAGGGAAUUGAAAUUGCGAAAUUAAAUAAAUUGUCGAAAUUAAAAUGAGGAAAAAUAAAUAGAGUUGGGAAAAGAGAAAGUUUCUUAUGUGGCGAGAUUCCAGGCUCCGGUUGUCUCGUUCCGCCUUGGGUUCAAUCCUUGGCCUUUAAGUAACCCUUCCCAACUCAAGUAAGCCAGUUAUAGUGGAAGAGGAUGCCUACGACCACCAGCUCCAAAGAUUAGACUUACGAUUUUUAGGGAACCUGACUCUAACCAGUAAUCUAUGCUAGAUCAACGCUUCUCAAUGGCGAAUCCCAAGUCAUUUUGUCUCUUUGGCUCGCCAACCUUUGACGCAGUAAAUUAACAAACCGACUGUGCAAUCCUUUCAAAACAUACAAAGCGGUCGCCUUUGCAUAUGCUGAAAAGCUUACUUCUUAAGGGCCAUGGACGGAAGCGUCAGCCCGUAGUGCGGAGAAACGAUGAAUACUUGGCGAGAAGGCUAAGUACGGGUUCUAGGCCUCAAAAACCCUUUUUUGGGGAAUAUUGACAACCUUCAGCUAGAUAGGUUUUAAUGGCUCAUGAUAAUGGUGGAAAAGGAAAUAAAUAUAAAAAUAGAAAAUAAAAUUUUAUUCAAAGAAAAUAUGAAGAAACAAAAGCCUAGACUUUUAGGGGGAGAGUGUUUAUAGAAAAAGAUGAACACCCCAAAUAGAGUCACUUCACCCCCUAUUUAUAGUGCUAGGGAGAUAAUCUAAUUUAACUUAAAUUCUAAAAAGAUAAAUACAUUUAAUUAAAGAUAAUUAAAAUAAAAUCCUAAAAUUAAAUAAUCCUAAUAAUUAUCUUAAUAAUAAUUAUUCUAAUAUAAAUAAAAUGGAGUCUUAUAAAAUAAAAUCUCUUCUUUUUGAGUUUUCAGUCCUUGUGUCAUCCAUGCUCGCACUUUUGGAACAAUCUUUUUCCUGUGUCGCAUAUCAGCCCAUUGUGUCUCCAAAUUCGCACUUUUGUCCCUUAAUUUUUCUUUUUGCCUCCAAAUCAGUCCUUUAAAGAUAAAAAGACAUAAAUAGCUAAAAUUAGUAUGAUCAAGCUCAGAAUAAAUAUAUAAUUAGCACAUAAAAACAUGACAUUCUAGAGUGUUAUCAGGCCAGCUUAUUUUGCAGAAUGGCUGAGCAAACUGCAUUCAUCUCCACAUGCGAUGCCUCAUCUAACUUCCGUUUAUUCGCUAAAAGCUCCUUUAAAAAUUUGACUGUGUUCAGCAUCUACGAAAAAGCUUCAAUAAACGGUAAGUUAAUAUGUAAUUUCUUUAAAAUUUUAAGGAAUUUACCGAAUUGUUCGUCUGAGUGGUCUUUCCUUGUCGUAUUUGGGUAUAGUACACGUGGUUUGUACUCUUUACUUACCUGUUUUUGCUCAUUAUGGUCCACCUUACCUCUACCUUUACUUACCACAAUUUCUUGCCUUAGUUCUGGUUGAGGUGCAACUAACCCUUCCUCAUCUUGAAUGGUAAUCGCAUUGAGCUAUUCCCUUGGAUUAGAUUUAGUGUUACUCAACAGGCUACCUUGUGGUCGUUCAGAUACCAAUUUAGCAAGCUGGCUUAUCUGAGUUUUGAGCCCUUGAAUCGACACUUGUUGAUUCUUAAGUGCUUUCUUGGUAUUCUAAAAACAAGUUUCUAACACUGAGAUGAAUUUUGUUAGCAUCUCCUCAAGGUUCAGCUUUUUCUCUUGUUGGUAAGGUGGUUGUUGGAAGCCUGGAGGUGGUGGGGGUCUCUGAUUUCCUUGGCCUCCCCAUGAAAAAUUUGGAUGGUUCCUCCAACCUGCAUUUUAAGUGUUACUAUAAGGAUUAUUUUAAGAUCGAGGAUUAUUACCCAUGUAAUUCAACUGCUCAUUUUCCAUACUGUGGCCAUAAGGUGGGUAUUCUGAAUUGCUUGAUCCACCUCUACUUGCUUCGCACUGCAUUACUAGGUGAACCUGUGAAUAACCAAAUAACCCGUCAAUUUUCUUAUUUAAUAGUUCUACCUGACUAGAGAGCAUCAUGACUAAAUCAACGUUAAAAACGUCAGUUGUUUUAGUCGGCUUUGUCCUCAUUACUUGCCACUGAUAAUUAUUCAGUGAGAUCUCUUCUAUAAAUUCAUAAGCAUCUUCAGAUGUCCUAUUAUUGAUAGUCCCACCAGCGGAUGCAUCGAUAAGUUGCCUUGUUGAGGGGUUUACACCGUUGUAAAACGUCUGAACUUGCUGCCAUAGAGGCAACCCAUGAUGAGGGCACCUUCUCAACAGAUCUUUGUAUCUCUCCCAUGCAUCAUAAAGCGUUUUUAGAUUCAUCUGCAUAAAAGAAGAGAUAUCACUACGUAAUUUAGUCAUUUUAGCCGACGGAAAAUAUUUUAAUAAGAAUUUUUUAUUGUCAUUUGUUCCCAAGUAGUGAUUGACACUCGUGGUAACGAGUUCAACCACUGUUUAGAUUUGUUCCUCAAUGAAAAGGGAAAUAACCGAAGACGAAUGGAAUCAUCAGAAAUGCCAUUAAUUUUAAAUGUGUCGCAAAACUCUAGAAAAUUUGCCAAGUGAUUGUUCCUCAUCCUGCAAACUAUCAAACUAAACAAAUUGUUGUAUCAUUUGAAUUGUGUUAGGUUUUAGUUCAAAAUUAUUUGCAGCAACAGCUGGCCUAACUAUACUUGACUCAGUUCCUCUUAAAGUAGGUUUAGCAUAAUCAUACAUAGUACGCGGAGUAGGAUUCUGAUUAGCAGCAAUCGCAAGAGGUAGCGGAUUUUCCUGAUUUUCAGUCAUCUCCUCAGUUGUGGUGGAAAUAUCGUCCUCUUGCUCUUUCUCUGUGUAUCUUAGGCUUUGCCUUAUUUCUCUUCGAUUUCUGUGAGCUGUGCGAUCGAUCUCACUAUCAAAAAGUAAUGGUCCUGACGGGUUUCUUCUAGUCAUGCACUAUAAAAACUUGCCAUAAGCGAAUAAACGAAAAAUAAGAAUAAGAAAAUAAAAUAAAAAUUCAAAUUGCAACAAAAGUAAAAUGGCUAAAGUAAUAAAAAUUGAGUGUUCCUAAUAUCUUCGUUCCCCGGCAACAGCGCCAAAAACUUGAUACGUGAUAUUCGCGACAGGUUUUAAAAAUUUAUAAUUAAUCAUUCUUGAAACUAACUAUUAUCACGAUGAAGCCAAAUGUACCUAUCGAACAGCAAUAUAGCUUUAGCAAGACCGGAUUGUCAAACCUAAAGGAACCAAGAGUAUUAGUAAUUGCUUUCUUUUUAUUAUCUAGCCUAAAAAUUAAGGGAUUUGUUUAUCUAACUAAUUAACUAAACUAAGGGUGCACAGAAAGAAAAUUGGGGAAAAGCUUUUGGGAAAACUCAAUUGAUUAAGACAAUACCCAAGGAAAAAUCCACCUAGACUUCACUUGUUAUUUGACUCUGAAUCAGACGAUUUAUUCAUUUGACUUGAUCCGUAGAAAUCCCUAAGUUAUAUUAUUAUCUCUCUCGAGACUGAUAACGUCUAACCCUAGGUUGAUUAAUUGAAAUCUCUUUCUAAUUAACACCCUAGUGUUGCAUUAACUCGAUCUAUGGACUCCCUUAUUAGGUUUCACCCUAAUCCGGCAAAAUCUUGUCACCCUAUCUCUAAGCGUGCAAUCAACUCCGCUUAAUUAUGAAAAAUUUACUCUUAGACAGGGACUUUUGCUCCUCUGAAUAAGGGCAUUAACUUGAAUCAAUAUCUUGGAAGAUUAAACCAAGAAUUAAGAACACAUAAUUAAGAAUAAGUCAAAUAUUUAUCAUACAAUUCAGAUAAUAAUAACAAGAUCCGUCUUAGGUUUCAUUCCCCUUAGGUAUUUAGGGGUUUUAGUUCAUAAUUAUGAAAGAAAACAUCUCAAAAGAAAAAUGAUAACAAAAUAUAAAGAAAACCCAAAACUCCUGAAGGAAAUUGAAGGAGAUCCUCAGUCUUGACGAAUAAUCCAGAUUUUGAGAUGGAUCAAUUGGCUUUGCUUGAGUAAUUCAUUGCCUCCUACUCCCUGUGUGUCUUCUAAGUGCCUCCCCAGGUGUUUAAAUAGGCUUUAGAAUGCCUAAAAGCCCUCAAGAGUGGCCUUUUUCGAAUAAUACUGAACUUGGGCUCGACAGGGACACGCUUGUGUGACACGCCCGUGUGCGAUUGCUUCAGACCAUGGUCAAGGCUGUUAAAUAGGCACGGGCGUAUGGUCUAUCUGUGUGAGGAAGUCCAGGCCUUGUUAAUUUCCCAUGUUGGUCUAUUUUCUUCGUUUUCGGCCCAUUUCUUAUGCUCACCUAAGUAUAAAACAUGAAAUUAAAGGAUUAGGAGUAUCGAAUUCACCAAAUCUAAUGAUAAUUCAUCCAAAAAUAUGCUAAGCAUGAGGUAAGAAUAUGUAUAAAUUAUGGUUUAUCAAUGGACUAUCACAGAAGGUGUCAUAGGUUUCUCCAACAUGGGCUUAUACAUAAUUUCAUGUAUUGUGAUCUGCCAUUUCAAAUUAUACAUUAUCGAAGGCUACACCAUAAGCAUAUAUACAGACAUAUCUUGCAAUGGGUCUUAGCCAUAUAGCUUACACACACAUUCAUGUAUUGUAAUCUGCCAAUCCAAUCUUCAUCUUAUUAGAGGCUACACCAUGAGUGUUUCCAAAUCAAAGUAAGAUGUCAUGGGUCUCAACCUUAUAGUUUAUUCUUGUUUUCGUAUCGUGAUCUGCCAGUCUAGUUAGCAAUAUAACUGCCCUACCAGAGGCAUCAUAGAGGAAAAUUUGCUCAGCAUUUACUUCCCUAGAUGAUCACCUUUUUACUAGCUCAUACAUCUCCUACAUCAGACCUUACCUGCAUGCUUACCAAACAUUAUUCUUUUUAAUAGAAUUUAUACAUAUCAUCGUAGCACAUCUUUCAUCUUUGCUAAACUCAUAUUUAUACUAAUUUCUGUAGACAUCAUCAUCACAUAUAUAUAUGCUUCUUGUUUGAACAGUUCAUAUCAAAAAGUCAGGAUAGAGACCCACUUAACUCUCAUCUAUUGCAGUUCAAAGUUCUGGACUCAACCACCCUUCUCAAACCAACAGUAAAAACUGCUUACAAAACAUAGAAUCACCAUUAAAACUCAUUUACAUACAAAUUACCAUCAUCUUAAUCACUUUUCCGCUGCUAAUUAAUAAAUAAAUGUUGAGUAGUAAAUAAAUAAAAAAUUAACUAAGUUUUCAAAAAAAAAAAGUCACUGUGAUGAGAAGAAUAAGUUUUCAAAAACAAAAGUCACCGUGAUGAGAAGAAUGUCAAAAUUAAUUGGUUUUUGUUAACUCAUAUGUUUUUCUAAAAAUAGGUUAAGUUUUCUUCUGAAAUAAACAAAUAUUUUGAAAUGAUUGUUUUAUAAACUCCAAUCAUAGGCCAUCUUAGUGGUCGAUGUAAUCUCCCAAAUUCGGUUCUAACAUCUAGGUUGGGUUGGAGAGGUUACAAUAUAUAUAGAAGGAUUCAUCAAUAAUGGAAACUUGAAUACAAGCAAAGAAAGAAAUCAAUCAAUGUGAAUUACUAACAAGUUCAAAAGCAUAUAUUUGGAUUAUAUUUUGUAAAGUACAAGAAUGUCAAGGAAUUAGACAUUUUGUUUUGAUAGUGAUUAUAUUUUAUAUAUAUUUACUUUUAUGCACUUUCAUAUUGAGUUGAUCAACAGUUUUGAAACUUUAUAGAAAACUUCAAGGUAUCACUUGUUGCGUAAGUGAUAUUUUACUAAGGGUGCAUAAUUGGAGGCCUCCUAGAUAUGUGAAAAUAAUGUUUAAAAAUCCAUCAAAUAGUAAAAACAUAAAUGAAAUAGCAUAUUGAUAUAUAUGGUAUCUUGAGUGUUGAAUUAAACAUUCUUUAGUAAAAGAAUGUACAUUUUGCACAUUGUGGGUGUGUUGGUUUCUUAUAUAUCAAUUAAGCACAAAUUAAAGAAAAAUAAUAUAUAUCACCAUAGUGUUGUAAUAUUUUGUAAAAUUUGUAAAAUUAUAUAAGCAAAAAAGUUUACCUAUCUCGUUAAAUAAAACUCAUUGAGUUGGUUCUUAAUAUUGAAGAAUUAGAGUGGUUGACUUCUUUAUUCAUUUUAUCCAACUACAAGUUGGAUUAAAGUUGUGGAAAUAGAAUGGUUGAAAAUUUGUGUUAAUGAGAAUUAAAGUUGUGGCCACAACUGAUGCCGACUAUUUUCUAGAAACAGGGACUGAUGUCCAAAACAUGUAGUAAAAUAAAAUUUUAGACAUGUUAGCAUAUGAAUUUAUUAUAUUAUAGAUUCAAUGUAACACCCCUAUCCUAUCUCUGUUGCUGGAUUAGGAUUUCAGACUAUUACUAAGAAAAAUAGAACAUUUAACUUUCCAACAGAAACAAUUAUACAAUUAAAUACCAACAUAUAUCAAUUAAAUCUAAUCAUGGCAAAUAUUACACUUAUAGACCUUGAAUCGAGCCUAUGGAGCCCUAGAAAAAAUUUAGGAACAAUUUGGGAUCAAAUCGAAACAAAUCAAAACAUUUUGAAAAAAAUAUAAAAAUUUGGGAAAACAGGGGUCACACGGUUGUAUGGCCAAGUCGUGUGACAAAGCCUACACCGCGUAAACAUUAGAAGUCAAAACACUCAACUGUGUCCCAGCCUGUGUGUCUACUCAUGUGUAUAAUCGAAAUAGGGUCACACAGCUGUGCUGCAGACUGUAAACCGUGUGUGUAUUCGAAGUUAGGUCACACGACCAUGUGACCGACCGUGCCACAAACUGUUUUGAGACACACGGUCGUGUCACAGACCAUGUGAAAUAUGCACCUAAAAUAAUAAAUAUACACGACCAUGUGUGGUGACUAUGUGUGGCACAUGGUCGUGUGGUAGCUUGUGUCUCAGGCUGUGUGCUCCAUUUUUAACCCCUAAAUUAAGUUAAUCAAGCAUCAUUUCUUGCACAGCAAGACAUACCAUAUCUAACUAAUUUUACAUGGUAAAAAUCACAUUCAGAUCACCAAAUACAUACCAAAAUUUCAUUCAUCCUAUGUCUAACCAAUAUACCAUCAAAAGGCAUCUCAAUCCAUACAUUCAUUCAACUCAAGAACAAAGUUACAAUAAAGGAACAAGUUUUAUCAUUAGUUAACCAUUCAUGCCUAAAACCACCAAUCUAAUUGACGAAAAUAUGGGCAUACUCAACAAGCAACCAUUUCAAAACAUCAUCACCAAAUCUUUAUAUACCAUUUAGGAUCAACUUAAUUAUAUCCAACACAAGUACACAUCCAAAACAAAGCACAUCACUAGAAAUACCAAAAUAACUUAACGAUUUACACAUCAACAAUAAGACACCACAUCCCAAAAUGAAAUACAAAAGCUACCGAGAUGGCUGGAUAGUGUGUGCUCCAAAACAAUUCGUCUAGUCAGUCCAUAAAACGCCAACUCAACCAAUAUAGAUAAACAAAAAAGAUAAGUUCUAAUUCUUGAUAUUCAAAUGCAAGAUCACACCACAUUAGUAUAUAUUUAUUUACAUCAUAAAUGAUACCUUCCAAAAGUCAUAACCAAUUCAUCAUCCAAAAUUUCUCAAUACAACCAUUAACAUUUAUAAAACAAAAACUUCAUAGAAACAUUUAUCAUUUAGUAGUAAUAUAACUAUCCAACAAAAUUGAACAAAUAAAUGAGUUUUAAGUCAUUUGAUGCAUAUCCCGCUGAACUAUAGUAACUAGACUCGGAUACUCAAUGAUGCAUAACAGAGGCACCAAAGUGCAAACAGAGGAAGGAAUAUGCAAUCAAAGGCAUUGAAGUGCAAACAAAUGCACCAAAGUGCAAACCCGUACAAGCGCACAUUAAAACCCUAUUGGCAUACUAAUCGUAUCCUAAUCAUUUACUAUGUUCAAUGGGGCAUUAAGAAUGGGGCAUUAUACUUAAAAUCGCAAUACCAAUAAAUCCAUCAUUUAGAGGCACUUCUUAUUUCCGUACACAUAAUAACAAUAAUUACCAUCAUCAAACAUUCAUUUUAUAUUUGUACUUAAUUACAAAUUUUAAUAAUAUAUAAGUAACUAAUGAAAUUUCCCAUAUAUACCAUUAACUAGAAAAAAAUAAUAUAAUCAUAAAGAGAUACACAUAUACAUAUUAUUACAUUAUGAACUUACCUGCAAUCCACUUCCAAAUAAUAUACAGGGACUACUCCGCAAUUUUUCUCUUUCCUCGAUUAUUGUCUUUUUGACUCGGUUCUUGAUCUAUAUAAUAAUUAAAUUUAAUUUAUUAAAUUUACAUAAUUUAAAAAUCAAUUCAAUGCAUGACACCCUUAUGUUUUCAUUAUUUUCACAUUUUCCUUAAACUUUUACAUUUCUCACAAUUUAGUCCCUAAACCCGAAAUUCCAAAAUUUAACAAAAUUUUACAAUUUUCCAUGCUAGCCGAACUUCUUUCUAAACUAGUACAAUCCCCAAUUAUUUACAAUUCACAAAAUUUCUAUGCAAAUUUUAAUUAUUUACACAUUGAUCAUUAAACUCAAAAUUAACACAAAUUCUUUUACAAAAAUAUCCUAAUCAACAUUCAAAUAUAUACAACUACCAUUAAAAAUCAUGAACACCAAAAUUCCAUUACUAACCAAUCCCUAAAACUUCAACAUUUUUAUAAUUUCAUCCUCAGGUUUAAUAGUUUAAGCUACAACGAGUUCAAAAAAUAUAAAAAUUAUUAAAUAUGUGAGAGAGAAACACUUACAUGCACCAAUUUGCUAACCGAAACUUUAAGCUCAAAAAAUGGAGUUUCUUUUUUUCUUUUUCUUUUUUGGUAGGAGAGAGUUGAGAAGAUGAUGAUACCAUAUUUUAUCUUUUGUUUCUUUUCUUUAAUUAAACUAAUUACCAAAUUAACCUUUUAAUCUGAACUAAAUUAUUAACAUAACAUGACCAUAAUUUUCCAUUAACUAACCAUAAGGUUUAUCUAUCAAUCAAGUCCAUUAUUUUAGUUUUUCUUUAAAAAUCAAGCACAUUUAACUAAUAAAAGCUACUUUAGCAUAUUUUACAAUUUAGUCUUUUUUACUAAAUUAACUAACUAGACAUUAAAAUUUCUUAUCCAAAUUUUAAUACGACUCAAAUAUAACUCUAUAAACAUAAAAUAAACAUAAAAUACUAACUCACUUGUUGGAAUUAUGGUCCUGAAAUAACCAUUUUCGAUACUACUGAAAAAUGGGAUAUUACAUUCAAUCUCUAAUUUAUGCUAAUGAAUGUGAGAGAAUAAUUUUCUUUGUAUAGUAAUACUACAACUAGAAUGUGUUUCGAUCCUAUUCUUAGAAACUGAUAGUAGAAACCCAACUUUUAAUUAGAAACCUCUUGUUUUAAAGUUCAAUGGGUAAAAGCAAGUUAUCGUUAUAUGUCUGUGAUACACUAGUAAAACUCAUUAUAGAAAAAAAAAGUUUAAUGGAAACUAGUGUUAUCCAUUGCGUAUAGAGGAUGAAUUUGAAUACUAUUAAUGAAGUUCAUUGUUUAUUGUUUAAAUGUCUAAAGCAAGGGAAACAUUAAAAGAACUCUACCUAUAUAAACAUAAGAAGUGAUGCCACUUCAACAAGUAAAGGUAGGGUCUCUCUUGUAAAUGUUUAUUAUGAACAAGAUAAGCACAUGAUCAUUUUAGUGCUAAAAGUGAACAACCUCUGAUAGAAAUAUAAAUGAAUAUUAUGUGUAGUGUAUUUCAACUUCUAAUACUAGGAGUUGUGGUUCAAUCUUCGGACACCAACGACUUAUUAGAACUUUGAAAAGCAUCCGCUAAUUGAUGGUUCAUAUUGAGAGAUAUCAUCUUAUAUGCAUAAUAUUUGUUGGAGUGAAUGGCUAUAAAGUAUGGUACCAACAUUUAAACUAAGGGUGAUUGUUAGUAGUUUAUAAUGUUGGCAGUAAAAAUAUUUUAUUAUGUAGAAAAGUCUAAUAACUUAUAAUUAUUGGCCAAAUAAUUGUGUUGUAAAGAGAAUUUUUGUAUGUAAAGUUGUCUUAUAAACUUUAUGUAAAGUUGUGUUGUAAAACAACACAAUUAUAUGAAAAGGUAUCUUAUUAAAAGAUAUAUUCAUAUUAAAGGGUAUCUCAUAAAAGAUACAUCUAUUGGAUGUCUAUAUAAAAGACUUUUCUAUUAGUCAUUUAAAUUGUUUUACUUGGAGUGUUGAGGCCUUUAUUGUAUCUUGAAGGUAUUUUAAAAUCUUAAAGAAAGUGCUCUACAUGCCUCAAAGUCGUUAUAUUUUAUAACAUUAUUUUAUUUUUCUAACUUCUAUUUUCCUAUUAUUUAUUUUUCUAACAGCCAGAAUAUAGAAAAAUUAUUAUGUUUCUAACUAUAUAUUAAAUACGAGUACUACUUGGAAGCCAGCACCCACAAACAUGAUAAAAGUUAAUUUUGAUGAGAGUUUUGACGUGGAAGCAAGAAAUGAGGAAGAGGGUAGUUAUGCAGCAUUGUGAUGGUUUUUUAGUCCGACUACGCAACCAUCCAAUUUAGGGUGCGUUCUACAUUAAGGUGAAAAAGCACUUAAAAAGAACAUUUGGUUUUUACACUUAAAAGUGUGAUGGAAAAAUACUUUUUCAUUCAAAUACAAAAAUUAAGAUAUAAAUGCUUUUGACUUUUAGCUUUUACAUUAGAAUGUGAAAAUUAUCAAAUACUAUUAUUUAUAUUAACUAUUUAAAGUGUAUAUAAAAAUUAGAUUAAUUUAUAUUUUAUAUAUCAUUAUAUUAAAUUAUUUAAAUAUUAUUUAUUAUUAUAUCUUUUAAUAAUUUAUAUAUCAUCUAUUUUACAAAUAAUUUAUAUUAAUUACUUCAAAAAUAUUUGGAACUUAUAUUUCAUGUACCAUUAUAUUAAAUUAUUUAAAUAUUACAUAACUUAAAAUGUCCUUUUCUUUAGACAUGAUAGACUUUUAACGGGAAUUUUUUGUAGUAACGGAGAACACCAAAAACUAAUGAGUACAUUUUUUCAUAGCACUUUUCUACCACUUUUCAACUACAACGGUAAUGGAGAACUAAUCCUUACUAAAGUUACCGAAGCACUAGCUUCCACUGUAGCCAUUGAAAUGGGGCUCCAAUUGGGAUUGCAACACAUUAUUAUUAAAAGAGAUGCUCUCUAAGUGGUUUCGAAGUUGAAGGAAGACAAAGAAGACCUACCAACAAUCGGACCUUGAUAGCAAAGAGUUGAAUACUUGCUAAACAGGUUCAGCAAUGUAGGUUUCAACAAAGAAAGAGGCAUGCUAAUGAGGUGGCACAUCAUCUGGCCAAACAGGGUGCAAUGCCCAAUUUCUGCCCGGGCCUAAUCAAAACAGCCCAAAGCAGAAAGCCCAAUUUUUCUAGACCUAGCCCACAACUAUUUUCAGCACCACCAUGCACCCAUUUUCUCCACCACUCUUCCACUCCAGAACACCCACGAACGGUUUCCCUCCAUGCCAUACAUACCUGCAAAAUAGAUUAAUGACUCAUAGCAGUUGACAGUAGAAAGAAAUAACAACAGGAAACGGUUUUGUACUUGGCUAUAAAGCCUUUGAAUUUUUCAUUGUUUGGUUUUUUUUUCUUUCUUUUUUUUUUCAGAGAGAUUGUACACGAAAUACAUACAAAAAUCAAUAGAAAGCAAUUCAAAGGUGAUUUAUCGCUAUUUAUUGUGUUUUUUUUUUCAAUUGGGUUUACAUACAAGUAUAAAAUAUAAGAGAGAACGAGAGGCUUACCGGAGUUAUAUCGCAUUCACGCCGUCGGUAGGACUAGCUCCGUUGGUCACGAACAGAUUUUGGGAGUGGUUGGGGGCUUGAAAGGAGCCUUUCGGCUGGAGAAUAAAGGGAGAGUGAGGGAGAUGAUAUAAUAUCCAAGGCAUUUAGGGUUUUUUUUUUUAAAUAAAAGUUAAAAAGUUUUCUUUUAAGCACAAUUUUUAAAGCGGGUUUUAGGUGAUAAGAAUGAAACAGCAUGGGGAAGGGAAAGGAAUAGCGUGUUUAACUUGGUCCACGUGCAUUUACCCCUUAAAUGGGUAAUUUUCGUUAUCAGUCCUCCUUACUUGCGUCACCCUUUAUUUGAUCCUAUUCUGUUUCUUUUAUUUUUGCCUUGAAUUUUGCGCACCGUUCCAAUUUAGUCCGAGCAUGAGUGUUGCUUUUUUGGGGUUGGGAACAUUUUCAAUUUUAGCCCUUAUACAUUCACGCGCAUUGCGCUUUGGUCCCUAUUUCAAUUUCAAUGGUUUUUUUAUUUGUUAAUUGUCCCUUUAAUUUUGCUUUUCUUCCAAUUAAGUUUUUAUUUAUUUUUUCCAUAAAAUAAGAAUAUAUUAUUUUAACAUAUAGUUUUGUUCAACAAAAUUCAUAUAUAUUUUUGUAUAUAUUAUUUUAACAAAAUAAGAAUAUAUUGUUUUCUUCAUAUGCAUAUUUAUUUGUUUUUUCUUCCAAAAUAAUUUCAUAUAUCAUUUUGUAUUUAUAUACUUUACUUAUAUUAAGUUUGCUUUAUAUCAUGUAUAUACGUAACUUAUACUAAGUUAUCUUUACUCUAAGUGUACAUUAUUGACUUCCUUUUAUUUUAUGUAAAUAUUUCCUUUUAUUUUAUUUUUUUAUGUAUAUUAUUGAUUUUAUGUUAUUUUAUGCUUGUUUAUUUUCUUCUAAGGACCCUAUUUUAAAUGGUAUAUUUUAUUUAUUUUCGUAUGCUAGUACCUUUGUUUUUUUUAUGUAUAAAUUUUCAUUUCAAGUAUUAUUUAUUUAGAUUGACAAAUACUAUGCUAUGUAUUACUUUUUUUAUAUAUAUACAUUAUGUGUCUUGAAAUAUCGUUUAUAUAUUAUUAUGUCGUACAUUAUUUUUAUUUUUAUUAUUUUUUGACCUAUUCCAGACUGUCAUAUAUGUUACCUUAAGAUUUUUAUACAUUUGUUUGAUUGCAUACUAACGAUUCCAAAUUGCAUUUCUUCUAUAUUAUCUAUAUUAUUUGUUAAAACUUGCCACAUACUUUUAUCUCAUGUACAAAACUAAGCUUGUACACAUGUUAUUGCAUCAUGAUCUUUAAAUUCCAACUCUUUGCCCAACAUCAAUCGUUUUUUAUCCCCAAGCAAACCAAACAAGUAUUUUUAAUUCGGUUUUUAUAACUGUUAAUUUAAAAAUUUCCCAAAACAAAGGCAAUGUUUGAUGUUUGAAAUUUUGGAAAUCGUGCCCUAACGUACUGGGUUUCGAUUUUUCGUUUAUCCAAAAUAAUCAAGUAUCCCCUUUAAAGUUUCGUAUGUGUUUUCUAAACUUCAAAACAAGGCAAUGUUCUAUGUUUUGGAAAUCCGAGAAAUCGUGCCCUAACGUGUUGGAUUUCAAUUUUUCGUUGGACCAAAUGAUCGAGUAUCCUUUUGAAAUUUCAAAUAUAUGAGCUUUUGGAAAUUAAGACUCGGUUGUGGUUUCGAGGGUUUAGAAAGUUAUGUCUUAACGUGCUGGAUGUGAUAUUUUAUUCCUUCAUAACAAAAGAAUUCUUAAUGACCAAUUUGAGUUAUUCAAAUAUUUUAAAAGAAAUAGUAUUUCAAAAUAUCUUUUAAAUUUUAGACAUAAGGACAUUGAUUAAUCAAUUAGGUACCAAUUUUGGGCGUCACGAGGGUGCUAGCCCUUCCUCGUGCGUAACCGACUCCCGAACCCUUUUUUCUCGACUUACGUAGACCUGAAAUUAUUGUUUUAAUAAAUCAAAAUGUUUUAUUAAAAUGAUCAAUUUCAAGGUGAUCCGAUCCCACCUCAGAAGGGAUCGGUGGCGACUCCAAACUUUGAUUUUUCAAAGUCGAUCCCCGUUUUUUUCAAACUUUUAGAAAAUGGUUUCGACACAAGGCCUUAAUUGUUUUCCAUCUUUUGUUCAUAUGUUUGUUUUGAAAAGGUAAAACAAAUCCUCACCUAUUGAUGUUAGAACGGUUGAAUUGCUAAAAGCAUGCUGCGUGCAUAACCAUGCUUUAGGUUAGGCUUCAAAUCAAAUAAAUUUUAAAUUAUUUUUAUUUGAAUUUAAUUAUAAAAAUAUAUUAAUAUCAAUAUAAAAUUAUAUACAAUUUUAAGAUAUUUUAUUUUUCAAUAAUAAAACGAAUCAUCUACCAACCCUAAUUCUUCAGUUUUCUUUUUAAUUAGAUGAUAACUCAAGCCAAGCUAACCAAUAAACACCCAAAAUCUACCAUCAUUUUCAUUUUUUUUUCUUUUGUCACAAAGUAGACAGAAGAUUCGGUUUGGAUAAGCUCUACGUUAUUAAGUCAAAAGCUGAAGUAAUUUUAAUCAUAAAUUGUUUUAUUUGUUUAUAAUGCAAAACAAUGACCCAAUUAAUACAAUAAAGCUUUAACUUUGUGGGAAUUUUCAGUCCAAAAAAAAAAAAACAAUUUGUGGAAAUUUUAGAGCAGUUGACCAUUUCUUCCGAAUUAGUUUUCUCACUUCUUGUCCAUAUUCCAUGUAUAUUAUUUCAAGAAAUUAGGUUUAGAAAAUUGCAUAAUUCAACCAUUGAACUAAUAAAUAUUAAAGAAAAAUUGGGUGGCAAAAAUAUCUUAUUAAAAGCGAAUCAUAUACUAUUAAUAGAUUUUAUGAUUAAAUUAGUUUCACGUGUUAACGGGAUAUUAACUUGAUUUAGUAAAUUAUAAAAAUGUCUUUUAAUGUUUAAAAUAAAUUAUAUUAUUUGAAGAUAUUUUAAUUUUUUUAUUAAAAAAGGAUGAUGUCUCAAAUUAACUCACAAUCUAAUUUAAUUUUUUAUUUUAAUAUCGUAAAUGUUUCAUGUUUUAUUAUUAAUUUGUUUCAAAUUAUACAUUUCAUUAUUUAUUUUAUGUUAUUUUUAAACAUAUUUGUGUUCUAAAUACCAAAUUUUCACUUAAGGGUAUCAGAGACGAAUCUAGAGAGGCUAGUAGGGGCCCCGGUCUCCUUAAAAUGAAAAUUAUUAUUUAAGCCCUUUAGAAAAUUUUAAAAUUUUAAAUUAGUAAAUGUAAAAUUGCACUUUGACCCCCUAAAAUUAUAAAAAUUUAAUUUAAUCUUUUAAAAAUUAUAAAGAUAUAAACUAGUAAAAAUUAAAAUUUCAUUUCGAUCCUCCCUAAAACAUAUUUUUGGCUUCACCUAAAGGGUAUGACUAGUAUGAAUAAUUUUCUUUGGAAGUCUUAAACAAACAGGAGUUAAGUAAAAAGGAGUUUUCAUACAUACAUAUUCGGCGUUGAUGUUUCCCUUUCGAAAAUUUAAAUUAAGACAUAGGAAAAGAAACUAAAAUUGAGCUUAAUUUAUGCAGUUGGGUUCAAAAUUUAAUAUUUAAAUAUAAAAAUUCUAAUAAUUCGAUCUGGUCCGUUUCAUCUAGCAGACUAAUAAUAAAUCUUAAAACAUAUUAUAUUUUAAUUUUAAUAAAACCAAAACUGAUACAUUUGACCUACAUCUACAUGUGAUCUAUGCUUAAUUAAAUUAGUCUAAAUUAGACGAGAUCUUGAUUAGGAGUCAUUUAUUUAUAUUAUAAGUCCCUGAAACAUGCAAAACUUACAUUUAAAAAUUAAUAUUUUUACGUUGUUGUUAGAAUAUAGGGUUUGUUAAUGUUUUCGUGUGAAGUCAGCUGUUGACAUUACCAACCAGAUAAUGAAAAGGGAACAUGGCAAUUAUUCCAUCCUAAUUGUCACACACACACACACACCUAAUUAAGUUAAUCCAAAAAUUACCUAACGUUUAGCAUUUCAAUGGUAGAGUCAGCUCUUUCUUCUAGUCUAUCAAAAAAAAAAAAUCAAUUUAACCCCUAACUCUUGGAUGGAAAAGUUUUUGCUAUGAACUUGUUGAAGUGAAUCUAAUGUGAUAUAAACACAUCACAAUCCAUGUGUGUAAUUAAAAAUAAUAGAGAGAGAUUGAAUAAUUUAAAGGGAAAAAAAAAGAAUUUACUCCCUCCACUAACAGGUAACUCUUGCAGCUUGAAUCUACAACGUAUGUAUGAAAGUGAACACCUUUAAUUAAUGAAUAAAUACUAAAGUUCUAGGUUUAGAAUUAAUUAAAUAUCAAUACAAAAAGUUAAUUACUUUUUGAAAUAAGGAUAAAUCGGUUUUUGAGGUUUGAUAAUUUUUCACAUAUCGAGGUUUGAAUUUUUUUAUCUUAAGUUCUAAACUUGACAAUAGUUCUCAAGAUGUGAAGGUUUUUUUUUUAUCCAAAUUAGGCUAUGAACUUAGAUAGAAAUCUUAAAAUUCAACCCUAAUGUAGGUAUAAUUGUCAAGUUAAAAAAAAUUCAAAUCUUAAUAGAAGAAUAAUCUACUAAUUGGUAACCCUAAUAUAAAAACAAUUGUUAAGUUGAAAACUUAAUUUUUUUUAAAAAUUCAAACCCUUAUUAACUUUAGGAUUUAACCCUUUGAAAUAUUGCGUUAAUUAAUAAGUGUAAGAAUUAUUUUGUGUUAAUGAUUAAAUAAAUAUUUAAGUGGAGAUCAAGUUUUACCUCAUUUGUCAAUUGUCAGGUGAAGAAUAUAUACCCUAAAGGCCUAUCAAAAACGGACCUAUCUCUAUAUAUCUUUACUAAUUUACUAUUCAUUUUUAAUGAAAAGCAAUAAAUUAAUGAAAACGCUAUAAAACGAAAACUACAUGAAUAAAUUAUAUGUGUAAAAUUGAAAUAUUUCGUGACGACAUUAUUGAAAAAAAUAAUCAUUAACCUUAAAUAUAAACAAUUAUGACAUUUCUAUAAAAUAUCAUUUAAUAUAUUGCAUCAAAGUUUUAAAAAAUGUUAUGUGUAUACUUUUACCUCGUAUAAAAAAGUCUUUCAUUUCUCAAUUCUUAUGGCAUAGUAAAUUUAUUAUUAAUUUUUAAAAAAAAUGGUUAUUAUUUGUGUAUUAAAUAAUUAUUGGGAUAAAUUUUAAAGUUGUACAUGGAUUUUGGUUACAUGUUAAUUAUAAACAUUAACUUUGAUUUUAUAUAAUUUUAUAUAUGAAAUUUUAAUUUGAUCCAAUUCUCAUAAAUUAUUAACAUAAUUAUUGAUAUAAUAUCAUUUUAUGUUUAUAUGCUAUAUACAGAAAUAAUUAUAUUUAUUCAAUAUAAAAAUUAAUUGAUGUAUUUAUUUCUUUAAACGUAUAUGAUUGAAUCAAAAUUAAAACAUCAUGUAUACAUUUGAACCAUAACUAAAAUUUUACAUAUAUAAUUAUACAAAAUUACAAUUCAUAUACGUAAUAAACUAAAAUUCAAUUUUUUUAUAAAAUUAACCUAAAAAAUUUAAUUAAUUACAUAAAUGACCCUUUUUUUUAUUAAACACGUAAAUGACCUAAAAUCUACCGUGAAAAUUGGUGGAAGCAAAGAGUUUGGCACCACCAACAUGCCACGUCAGCAACCAAGAUAAAAAAAAUCAACUUUUUGGUAGAGCCAUGCAUAAUAGUGCUACUUGUAUAAAUAUCAGGAAAAUACUAUAAUUUCUAAAAAAUAAGGGACUUUAAUAAAAAAAAAUUCUAUUUUCUGGUGGAGCCAAAUAAAUUGGCGCCACCAGUUUCCAAUGUGAUUUUUUUUAAAGUUUUCUAAAAUUUUAAAUAUAUUAAAAAAUGUUAAGUAUAAUUAAUUUUAAAAGUUUAAUAUAUUUAAAAAUUUAAUAUACUUAAUAUAUAUUUUUAAUAGGUAAAGAAAAAAAUGAUUUUUUAAUAUAUUUAAAAUUUUAAAAAACUUAAAAAAUUUAAAUACUUUAAAAAAUAUUAAGUAUAACUAAUUUUAAAAUUUUAAUAUAUUUAAUAUAUUUUUAAAAUAUUUUUAAAAUUUUUAAUAUAUUUAAAUUUUUUAAAGUUUUUUAAAAUUUUAAAUAUAUUAAAAAAAAUUUCCUCAUUACCUAUUAAAAAUAUAUUAAAUAUAUUAAAAUUUUAACAUAUAUUUUUAAAAUAUAUAUUAAAUAUAUUAAAAUUUUAAAAUUAGUUAUACUUAACAUUUUUUUAAUAUAUUUAAUUUUUUACUAUUUUUUAAAAAUUUUAAAUAUAUUAAGAAAAUAUUUUUUAUAUUUACCUAUUAAAAAUAUAUUUUAAGUAUAUUAAAUUUUUAAAUAUAUUAAACUUUUAAAAAUAAUUAUACUUAACAUUUUUUAAUAUAUUUAAAAUUUUAGAAAACUUUAAAAAAAAUUACAUUUGAAACUGAUUGGCUCCACCAGAAAAUAGAAAAUUUUUAUUAAAGUCCCCCCAUUUUUUAGAAAUUAUAAUAUUUUUUUGAUAUUUAUACAAGUGGCGCCAUUCUACAUGGCUCUAUCAAAAAGUUGAUUUUUUUUAUCCUGGUUGCUGACGUGGCAUAUUGGUGGAGCUAAACUCUUUACCUCCACCAAUUUUCACAGAAAAUUUUAAGUUAUUUAUGUGUUUAAUCAAAAAAAUAGAUCAUUUAUAUAAUUAAUUAAAUUUUUUAAAUUAAUUUUAUAAAAAAAACCCUAAAAUUCAUAUAUAUAACUGUAAGAUUUAUGUCCACAAUUAUCUAAAGCUAAUCGGUGAUAAUUACUAUGGAAAUUCAAUGUACUUAACUAAUUGAUUGAUAGGAACAAGCAUGAUGAAAUCCAUGAUUGGGAAGAGAGAGAAUUCAAAAACUGAACGCCCCAUUAAUCCAUGCGAAUAAACUUUUUCGGUAUACAUCAUAAUUCAUUUAAUUUUAUCAUUAUCUCUAUGCUAUAAUUAUGUUUAAACUAAAAUACUUGAGACAUUAAUAGUUUGUGUUAUAUAAAUUAUGAUAUCCAUAUAUCCAUAUUAUAUAUAUAUUUUUAUAUUAUGAAUGCAUUUAAAAAAAAAUUAUGAAAAAUGUAGAGUCCGCAAAUAAAAAAUGGCUUACAAAUUAACAGAAAACCAAUUUUAUUUCUUGUAAAUUGAUUUACCAUAUUAAAAAGUGUAAAUCUUUUUUUAAAUUUAUUUACGAGUAAUUUUAUUUUUAUAAAAAUUAAUUUUAGCCAAGCCUAAUAUUAUUUUAUUAAUAAUAUUAUUUUUAUUUUUAUUUUUAAACAAUUUAAAAUUAUUAAUAUCAAAUAUUAUAAUGUUGAAUCCUAGUAACAUACAUAUUAAAUUAUUUAUAUUAUGUUAUAUUACAAUUUUAUUUUAAUAAUAAAUUUUAACAACAAUAAUUUUAAAUUUUAAAUCGUAUUUUUAAUAUAUUAUUGAAAAAUAUUUAUAUUAAUAUUUUAAUAAUAAAUAUAUAUUAAAAUUUAUAAAUAUUUAAUAAUAAAUUUUUUAUAGUAUAAAAUAUGAAUAUUUUAAUUAUAUAGAUAUGAGUAUUUGUUUAAAUCAUGCUUAAGUUCAUUUAUCUCCCAACUCUAAUGUGUCAUUAUACACUGUCAUAUAUAUAAUAUAUGUAAUUUAAGCAUUAUUUAUUAUUAAAUUUAUAUAUGAUAUUAAUUAUAAUAAAAUAUUAUCUUAUUAUAAAAGAAAUUCCAAUUGUCAAAAAGAAAUGUUACUCUAAUAUUUUGUAAUAAGUAUAUUUAUAUUGUAUUUGUUUCACUAAUAACAAAUUUAAAAUGAUUUUAGAAAAAAAUAUCAAAAAAUAAAAAAUAUUUUAAUCAAAAUAAUUCAAAUAAAAAAAACUAAACUUUUCCAUGAAAUCAAUCCAAUUUUAAGAAAACAUUAAAAUUGUUUUAGGUGAAACAAAAGGAACCUAUAUUUUAUAUAGUAUUUGAAAAGUUGUUGUAUCUAGAAUUAUUAUCUUUAAUUUUUUUUAGGUCUAUUUCUAAUUUUCAAAAAUUGAGAAGUUAAUUUCUCUAUUUUACUUUAUCAGUCCGUGCUUAUUUUUUAUUAAUUUGUUGUGUAUAAAUGGUUAAACUAUUGAUUUUUGUUAAUUACUAGCAUGUAAAUUGUUAAACUACUUGUUCCCAAGUCAACAGUAAAGCUUAAUAGUAUUAUCAAUUUGGAAUAAUUUCUGAGAUUUUUCUUUUAUUUUGCGUGAUUAAGAUAUUUUUCAUGUACGGUUUAAGGUUUAUGAAGACUAAUCCUUUCGAGUUUAUAACUACCCUUUUUAAUAAUGUCGUCUUUAAAAUUCGAGUUCUCUUUCUUGUAAGUACAAUAUGCCUUACAUUUAUAACUAAUACUUCUUAUUUUUGUAAAAUAUAAGAAUCAAAUUAUGUAGUAAGAUUAAUUUCUAGAUUUUUUAAAUUUAAAAUUUAACAUUUAAAAUAUUAUCAAUCACAUCACACACAAAACCAAAGAGCAAGAGAAUCUAAAAAACACGUGGACCAUUAAUUUAGGAAUGGACAGAAACUCAUGCAAAAUGGUUGGAAAACACGUACAGGAUUAUAUAUACUAAUCAUUUUUAUUAUUAAGCAGAAUUGGAAAUAAAUAAAUACGGGCGAAACCACUGAAUAAUACAGCAUUGAAAUGCAAUUUGUCUACAUCAUUAUUGUUCUUCACUUCAAACGCGGAGACUAGUCUAGGGUCCCAAUCUUUUGCUUUAUCUCUCUAGAUAUAUCCUUUUCAAACUAUCUUUUUGUAGCUUUAUUUGCAUCACAGCAUUAUCUUUUCCUGCAAACAACUGUUUAAAGAUUAAAACAUGCAAAACAUUCUGAAAUAAUGCACCCUGACCAGAUGACAAAAAAAAAAGAGGAUUCUAAUGUAUCUUACCUUGGAUUGGAGCACGGUCAAAGCCGUGGCUUAGUAGUGGUGAGGAGGAGGGGGUGAAGCGUAGACAUAAUGGGGUGGGGGUGGAGGAGGAGACUUGUAUUUGUAAACUGGAGGAGGAGGUGGUGGAGACUUGUACUUGUAAGGGUGCUUGGGGGGUGAUGGUGGGGGUGGUGGGGGUGACUUGUACUUGUAGGGGUGCUUGGGUGGUGACGGUGGGGGUGGGGACUUGUACUUGUAAGGGUGCUUGGGGGGUGAUGGUGGUGGUGGUGGAGGUGACUUGUACUUGUAGGGGUGCUUGGGUGGUGACGGUGGUGGUGGUGGGGGGGACUUGUACUUGUAGGGAUGCUUUGGUGGGGAUGGUGGUGGUGGUGGUGGGGACUUGUACUUGUAGGGAUGCUUAGGUGGGGAUGGUGGUGGUGGUGGAGACUUGUAUUUGUAAGGAUGCUUUGGUGGUGAUGUUGGUGGAGGUGGUGGGGACUUGUACUUGUAAGGGUGCUUGGGUGGUGAUGGAGGUGGAGGUGGUGGAGACUUAUACUUGUAAACUGGAGGUGGUGGGGGUGGAGACUUGUACUUGUAGGGGUGCUUGGGUGAUGAUGGAGGUGGAGGUGGUGGAGACUUAUACUUGUAAACUGGAGGUGGUGGGGGUGGAGACUUGUACUUGUAAGGGUGCUUGGGUGGUGAUGGUGGGGGUGGGGACUUGUACUUGUAGGGGUGUUUAGGUGGUGAUGGUGGUGGUGGUGGUGGGGACUUGUACUUGUAAGGAUGCUUGGGUGGUGAUGGUGGUGGAGGUGGAGGAGACUUGUACUUGUAAGGAUGCUUGGGUGGUGAUGGUGGUGGAGGUGGUGGAGACUUAUACUUGUAAACAGGAGUUGGUGGGGGAGGAGAUUUGUACUUGUAAGGUUUCUUGUGUGGUGGUGGUGGAGGAGAGUAGACCGGAGGAG